GUUCCUCAUCUCCCCUAUAUUCAAGCCAUCAUUAAAGAAUCAUUUCGGAUUCAUCCUCCAAUUCCAUUGCUCAACAGGAGAGCACUAGAAGACUGUAAAAUUGGCAACUACAUAAGUCCUAAAGGCACUCUGUUGUUUGUGAACCUUUGGUCUAUGGGUAGGGUGUUGGAUCAUAAACUUGAUCCAAGAUGAAUAAAUUCAAGCCCAACUCAUGGAAAAUUCCAUGAGUAGGUAUGGUUGGUGAGAUUUGAAUUACUUGUGGUAGGUGUGGUUGGUAAAGUAGGUGAGUGGUAGGUUUUAAUGAAUGGUGAGGAUUUAUGAAGUACUUGAAUAAAUAAAUGGUUGUGAUUAGUUUGUAUCAUGUAUAAAUACCCCUCCCCCCUUUGGUUUAAGCAUCAAGUGAAGUAACAAAAUCUCUAAGGUGUAGAGAGUGAAAAAUAAGAGUUGUAAUUGGUGAGGAGUGUUGUUGAAGAAAUAAAAUAGUGUGUUUUUUGUGUGUUUUAUUUGGUAAUUCUCAAAUAAAGUGGUAUCAGAGCUAGUGUUCGAUGCUAUAUAUAAUCAUAUAGAAUAUCAAAUCGAAGCUCUCGACAAUAGGAACGUGACAUCGCAAAAAUCAUCCCGAUUGGAGACUGGACGCGCCCACACUCGCUGCCAGUAGUUUUCUGUCCAGAGCUGAGUUGACUCACCGAGUUAAACCAAGCUGAGCUGAGCCGAACCGAACCAAGCCGAGCCGAGCUGAACCGAAUCAAGUCGAACCGUGCCAACUCCAGCUGAACCAAACCAGACCGAACCAAGACUACUAAGCCGACGUUGACCGUUGACUGAAAGUUGACUCGAGUCCUGCCCAAGGUUUUUCGACGUGCCAGAUUCAUCUGUGCAGUCAGAAUCUCCAAAUUCUCACUCAAUUUGUAAGUUAUGGCAAACGGUGGUAUGAUGUCAUUUCAAGUUCCACAAUUAAAGGGAAGUAAAUUUGACAACUGGAGUAUUAAAAUGAAGGCUCUAUUGGGUGCACAUGACGUAUGGGAUGUCGUGGAGAAAUGCUUUAUUGUACCAGAAAAUGAAUCCACUUUAACUGCAGAGCAGAAGGAGAAUUUAAAAGACUUGAAGAAGAAAGAGAAUAAAGCAAAGCAUCUCAUCUUUCAAUCAUUAGAUGAAGAUGUUUUUGAAAAGAUUGCUGAUAUAACCUCCCAAAAGAAGCAUGUGAGAAACUAGAGACCUCUUACAAAUGAGCGGAGCAAGUUAAAAAGGUUCGUCACCAAACAUUACUAGGAGAAUUUGAGUCCUUACACAUGAAGACGUCGGAGUUAAUUUCUGACUACUUUACUCGGGUUGUGACAGUUUUUAAUGAAUUAAAAAGAAAUGGCAAGGAGUUAAAAGAGGUAAGGAUUAUUGAAAAGAUACUUCGAUCAGUAGACUCGAAGUUUGACCAUAUUGUUGUGACAAUUGAGGAAACAAGAGAUCUGGAGGAUAUGACGAUCAAGCAACUUCAAGGAAGGUUGCAAGCCUACGAAGAAAAACUAAAAAAAAAGCAAGGAAUCGAAGAACAACUUCUCAAGAUAGAGGUCAAUCCAAAGAAAAGAGAAGAAAGCUCAGACAACAAGAGAAGACACUAUGUCCGAGGUAGAGGACGAGGACGAUGUAGAGGUCGUGGUCAUGGAUGAGGUUGGAAUUUCAACAACAACAACUCCAAUUAUGCCAAAGGAGAAAUCUCAACUAGAGGACGAGGCAGAGGUAAUCCAAGAUCGAGGUAUGACAAAUCUCAAGUACAGUGCUAUAAUUGUCAAAAGUUUGGGCAUUAUGCUUCAGAAUACAGAGCUCCAAGCACCAGAAUUGAGGAAAGAGUGAAUUAUGUUGAAGAGAAAAAUAGUGAAGAUGACACACUUUUAUUAGCACGCAAUGACACAAGUGGAGGUCAAGAAAAUACAUGGUAUUUUGACACAGGUGCUAGCAAUCAUAUGAGUGAAAAAAAAAAGCAUGUUCGUGUAACUAAGUGAAUCUGUGAAUGGGAGUGUCGCUUUUGGAGAUGAUUCAAAAGUACCAGUGUAGGGUAGAGGUAACAUUCUUUUUAGUGCAAAAGAUGGUAGCCACCAAAUAAUUUUGAAUGUUUACUAUGUGCCGAUUAUGAAAAGCAACAUCCUUAGUUUGGGUCAACUUUUAGAAAAAGGCUAUGAUAUUCACUUAAAAGAUUGUAGUCUUUUCCUAAGAGAUGACAAAGAAAAUCUAAUUACAAAGGUGAAAAUGUCGAAGAAUAGAAUGUUUCCUUUAAAUAUUCAAAAUGAUGUUGCAAAAUAUCUCAAAUCUUGUCACAAAAAUCCAUCAUGGACUUGGCAUCUUCGAUAUGGGCAUCUCAACUUUGGAGGAUUGGAGCUACUAUUCAAGAAGAACAUGGUGAAAGGCUUACCAUACAUCAAUCACCCUGAUCAACUUUGUGAAGGAUGUUUACUUGGCAAGCAGUUUAGAAAGAGCUUUCCAAAGGAGUCAAACUCAAGAGCUCAGAAGCCACUCGAGCUCAUUCAUACUGAUGUGUGCGGUCCAUUCAAGCCAAACUCCAUUAGUAAGAGUAACUACUUUCUUCUCUUCAUAGAUGAUUUUUCAAGAAAAACUUGGGUGUAUUUUUUGAAGUAGAAAUCAGAAGUCUUUGAAGCUUUCAAGAAGUUUAAACCUGCAGUGGAAAAAGAAAGUGGAUACAAAAUUAAAGCCAUUAAAUCUGAUCGAGGUGGAGAGUUCACUUCUAAAGGAUUUUUAGAGUUUUGUGAAGCAAAUGGAAUUCGACGACCUUUGAUAGUUCCAAGAUCCCCUCAACAAAAUGGUGUUGCAGAAAGGAAGAACAGAACCAUCCUCAACAUGGCAAGAAGUGUGCUCAAGAGUAAGAGGCUACCUAAAGAAUUUUGGGCUGAAGCUAUUGCAUGUGCAGUCUACUUAUCCAAUUGAUCUCCAACAAGAAGUGUGUGGGGCAAGACACUACAAGAAGCUCGGAGUGGAAGAAAGCCCGGCAUCACCCAUCUAAGAGUUUUCAGAAGUAUUGCCCAUGUACAUGUACCAGACGAAAGCAGAGCCAAGCUGGAUAACAAAAGUGAGAAGUUCAUCUUCAUCGGCUAUGACAACACUGCUGUACGGCCAAGGCGGAUGUACGGUACAGCAGUGGAAAUGUUUUAUCAAGAUAUAGUUUUGCUAAUAUCACUUGGGUAAUGCCCUAAACAUGUUUUACAAGAUAUGUUUUUAUUAGGUCCCAAUCAGAUGUAGCUAACAAUUACAAUUGUUAGAAGUAAUAUUUUUUGCUUAUAGUGAGAAGAGUAAUAAUAGAGUCACAAACUCUUGUACAAAUUUAUUUUAUACAAAUUAAUGUGGCAUUAUAAAAUUGAUUGAAUUAAAUAUCUCUUGGCCCACAUGAUCUAUUUUUAUUAUUUUAUAUUUUCAUUUAACCAAUGAAUUAAUGACAAAUCAGUUUGUACAAGAUAAAUUUGUACAAGAGUUUUGGUUGUAUCAUCACUCUAAUAAGAAAUAACCAAAGUGUUUUUUUUGUUUGAAUACUCUUCCCCUUUAUUCAUAUCUUUGGAGCUUAUUUAUAACAAAAGACUUUGAUUUCCAACCCAUUAUCUCGGCUGGAAUCAAUCAACAACUAUCAAGCUAACAACUUGACUAAUAUUUCGAACUGAAAAAUAAAUCAAAAGCAAACUUCCAAGAUUUGGAUCCCCCCCUCAAUCUCUGAACCACUACAAGAAAAAUGACCUAUUAUGAUAGGUAAAAACUGUCAUCUUAGGGGGUAGAUGACGGUUAUCCUUACUGUCAUUAUAGCCAGCGUCAAGAAAAGAUGACAGAUAAAAUCGCGUCACAAGUUGUGAUAGAUUUUACCUAUCAUAAUUAUGUCAUACUACUUAGAAGAGGGAAAUUAUUUUUUUAUUUUAUAUUUUCAUUUUUUUAGAAAUUUUUGGAUUGUAUUUUUUUUUGGGAUAUCAAUUGUGUGUAUGACUAGUAUUUUCUAUCACAUUUCUGCUGUACGGCCAAGGCGGAUGUACGGUACAGCAGAUGCAAUGAGAUAAAACCUCAUCAAAUCUUGAACUUUUUAAUUGUCCCUUAAAUAAUUAUAAUAGUUGGAACAAUAUUUUUUUUUCUAGUAGAAUUUUGAUUGUCCUUUGAGAUAUUAAAUAAUUUUGUUAAUUUUAGAAGUUGAUGGUCACUUGAUGAGCAACCAAUUAAGACUUUUUUUUUUUUUUUAUAUAUAUACACACAGAACCAACGAAAGCAAUUCAUCCUUGGCACAUCCAGCUAUGCUUAUCAGACGAAAAGAAAAGACAAAAGGGAAAUAUCUUUUAGAAGAUUUGUAAAAUGAAAAUCUUUAGCAUCAUGGAAGAAAACAUCAAUUUACAAAAAUUCAGGUGUAUAUCCAUAACCCAAUUACCCAUACAGCGCAGUUGCCAGUUAUACAUCUUUAAUUAUGUUAAUGCAAAUUUUUGAUCGAUAAAAACUAAUUGAUUUUUGUUCUAGGAUUUCUUCAUUAUCAAGUUUUAUAGUACUUUUUCUCUUGAUGCAAGUGUCUCCAAUCAUGUUCUUGCUGUAGUUAAUUAUUCGGCUAAGAAAACAAAAAUUGUCGAAGGGUGUCGAGAUUGUCGACGAUAACCCUUCGACGCUCAAGUUAGUCAUUUGCACUCAAUUUUUUUAGAGAGAGAGAGAGAGAGAGAAUUUAGACGAAAGUGGACAACAUUUUUGUAUUUGUUUUAUGUCUUACCUCCAAAUGUGGGAGGUCUUAACCUUUACUAGACAACUUGAAGCAUUAAGGUAAAGCAGUUAUUAUGCAAAGUGGCAUUAUUAUUAUGACAAAUGUUUAUAAAGCUCAUUAAUAAUGGCACCUAUCAAUAUGUGUCUAUACUUAUUAAUGACAGGUAUUCUUUACAUACUAGUCCUAAUUUUUUGCUAUUACCCUUUAAUAAGCUCAGGCUUAACUUUGGCCUUUAUAUUGGUUCUUUAUUGAGAGGAUUGGUUAAGCGAUAUAUCACCUAUAAGCAAAGUCUUGUAAAGUCUUUACUUAUAGGCACUUAAUUUUUUCUAAAUAAUUGGCCUUAGUCCAUUCUUGUAAAGAAUGGCCCUACAUAAAUCUUUUUUUAAAAGUUUGCUAGUAGACUUAUUAGACAUAUUUAUAAAAUUUUGCCCCUAGGCAUGUUAUAUAAAGUGUUUGUUUGUUUGUAGGCGCAUUUUGUAGAAUUUUUUAUUUUUUGAUUUUUAAUUUUUUUGGCUUGUAUGCCCAUUUCAUAGAAUAUAUGUCUGCUUCUAAACUUAUUCCAUACAAUACAUGUUUGUUCUAUAGGCGCAUUUUAUAGAAUAUUUAUUAUAGAGAUAAAAGGAUACAAGCUUUAUAAUCCAAACAACGGAAAAAUCGUGAUCAGUCGAGAUGUAGUUUUUUAUAAAGAAGAAGAAUGAGAUUUUGGCUCUAGUGUGGAUGACUUCAACUUCUUUCCCAUUGAAGAAGAUGAUCAUACUCAGAUAAAACGAGUAAAAGAACAACAAGAGCCAGCUACUCCACCUAUCUCACCAGUAUCAACCACAUGUGGAGAUUCACCGCCAUCUUUCUUAAAUGAAAGAACCGAAGAACGUACAAGGAGUCUUCAAGAUCUCUAUGAGGUAACUGAGAGACAUGAUAAUCUCACUCUCUUUUGCCUCUCAACUUCCAAGAAGCUGCACUAUAUGAGAAGUAGAGAAUUGCAAUGGAUGAAGAAAUCAAAGCCAUUGUGAAGAAUGAUACUUGGGAGCUUUACUACUCUUCCCAAAGGGCAUAAGGCGAUCGGUGUCAAAUGGGUGUACAAAACAAAAAGAAAUGCGAAGGGAGAAAUUAAAAGGCACAAGGCGAAGCUAGUUGCAAAAGGCUAUAGUCAAAAGACUGGCAUAGACUACGACGAGGUAUUUGCUCUUGUAGCUCGACUUGAAACUAUUAUACUUAUUAUUUCUUUGGCUGCUCAGAACAAAUGGAAGAUUUUUCAAAUGGAUGUUAAGUUUGCUUUCUUGAAUAGAUUCCUUGAAGAAGAAGUUUACAUCGAACAACCAUUGGGCUAUGUGGUGAAAGGAUAUGAAGACAAAGUUUUGAGAUUAAAGAAAGCUCUUUACGGGUUAAAACAAGCACCAAGGGCAUGGAAUAACAUAAUUGACAAGUAUUUUCAAGAGAAAGGCUUUAAUAAAUGCCCAUAUGAACAUGCUCUCUACGUCAAAGAAAAAGAUAAAGAUAUUUUUAUUGUGUGCCUUUAUGUGGAUGAUCUCAUCUUCACUGGAUGUAAUCCAAGCUUGUUUGAAGAGUUCAAGAGAGUGAUGAUUAAAGAGUUCUAGAUGACUGACAUCAGACUGAUGGCAUAUUAUCUCAGCAUUGAAGUCAAACAAAAGGAAGAAGGCAUAUUUAUCUCCCAAGAAAGCUAUGCAAAGGAGAUUCUCAAGAAGUUCAAAAUGAAUUAUUGUAAGCCUAUAAGCACGCUAGUGGAAUGCGGAGUCAAGUUAUCCAAACAUGAUAAAGGCAAAGAUAUAGAUUCAACAUUCUUUAAAAGUUUGGUCGGAAGCCUAGGUUAUUUAACAUGCUCGAGACUAGAUAUCCUUUAUGCUGUUGGACUUGUGAGUCGAUACAUGGAGAAUCCAAAGACCACCCAUUUUAAAGCUGCAAAAAGAAUCCUUCGCUACAUCAAAGGUACAACUAAUUUCAGCUUGUUAUACUCAUUUUCUAAUGACUACAAGCUUGUUGGAUAUAGCGAUAGUGAUUGGGGUGGAGAUGUAGAUGAUCGAAAAAGCACCACAGGAUUUGUGUUCUUCAUGGGAGAUACUGCUUUCACAUGGAUGUCAAAGAAGCAACCUAUUGUCACGCUAUCCACUUGUGAAGCUGAGUAUGUAGCUGCCACAUCAAGUGUUUGUCAUGCAAUUUGGCUCAGAAAUUUGCUGAAGGAGUUGGGUUUGCCACAAGAAGAGCCAACCGAUCAUGUAUGAAUGGUGAAGUAGGUGAGUGGUAGGUUUUAAUGAAUGGUGAGGAUUUAUGUAGUAGUUGAAUAAAUGAAUAGUUGUGAUUAGUUUGUAUCAUGUAUAAAUACCCCCUCUCCCUUUUGGUUUAAGCAUCAAGUGAAGUAACAAAAUCUCUAAGGUGUAGAGAGUGAAAAAUAAGAGUUGUAAUUGGUGAGGAGCGUUGUUGAAGAAAUAAAAUAGUGUGUUUUUUAUGUGUUUUAUUUGUUAAUUCUCAAACAUAAGGACCCCAAAAUUUGGAAGAACCCAUUGGAAUUUCAGCCAGAACGAUUCUUAUCACAGUCAAAUAGUGAGAUUGAUGUUAGAGGAUUGCAUUACCAAUUGCUGCCAUUUGGAACUGGGAGAAGAGGCUGCCCUGGCCUUUCUUUAGCCAUGCAAGAGUUGCCGACAACUCUAGCAGCUAUGAUUCAGUGCUUCAAUUUCAAAGUAACGAGUCCGGAUGGUGUGGUUGAUAUGUCUGAACGCCCACAAUUAUCAUCUCCAAGAGCACGAGAUCUUAUGUGUGUGCCAGUUGCACGUUGUCCUCGUAAUAUCCUAAAUUAAGAUGUAUGUUGAAAUUAAAGUGUCUUUAUAAAUGUUCAGCCCUUGUCUCUAUUUAAUGGGUAAACUUAUGUUACAUUUGAUGUAAGUAACAACAAUGACGUGACCAAUUGACUCACGUAAGAGCAGUACGUGGCGGUAAGGGACAAUAUUAAAAACAUGUUCAAGCCAGUUGGAAACCAGUUGCAAAAUGCGUGAACGGUAAAGUCAAUGUCUCAUUCCUUAGUGUAGCUGGUUAAAGAUUAGGUGCAUAUCAAUGAAAAAUUCAAAAAGAAAAAGAAAAUUUGAAAUUCAAAAAUUUUUGUGUGGCUUUCAAAAGUUUAGACUCCAUAAUCUCAUGCUCCGUUUAUUGAAGGAAGCAACAUCUCCCCUCUGAAACAUAAUCAGCAAAAUAUUCAUACAGUUUUAUAAUAAUGGACAAUUUAUUGAACAAAGGCUGAAAAAAGAAAAAGAACAAAUGGUUUUAGAGUUGUGUCUAUUACUACUACAUAGAAAAAUGACGGGGGAGUUGCAGUUUGAGAGGUUAGGAAGUGUUUUGAAAAUUUAUAAAUUGUUUCUUAAUUUGAUUUUUUUUUAUAGUAAUGAAAUGUUUGUAAUAUCAUUGAUUGGUUUGUUGAUUUGUAUUCUCAUUAUUUUAUCUUGCUUCAAAUUCUUAAAUAGGCCAUAUGCAUCAAGUAGGGGUGGGCGAUAGUCGGUUCAGUUCGGUUCAGGUCCCGAACCGAACCAAACCGAAAUCAAUCAGUUCCUAAGAGUAUGAACCGAACUCUAACCGAAUUUAAAAACCAAACCGAACCGAACCGAAAUAUUUCAGUUCGGUUCAUUUUUCUAAAAUCAGUUCAGUUCGGUUCGAUUCUUAAAUACCUAGGGUUAGGGAUUUGAGAGAGAAAUUCAUUUUUGGUUUAUAUAUAUUCAAUUAAAUAUAUUAUAAUCAAAUCAAACUGAACUGAUCGGUUUUUCAGUUCGGUUCGGUUUAAACCAGUUAGUUCGCCGGUUUUAGAACCAUUCGAUUUUUGCUCAUAGAACCAAACCGUUUGCCCACCCCUAGCAUCAAGUGUUCGAUAAAUCGUCUGAAUGGCAUUGACAAAUCAUUGUUGUCUAAUAUUGAAAAGGUUAAUCGAUUUAUAAAUUCAUGCAUCAAUUUCAACUAUUUGGAUGUAAUUUGAUUAUCAACAUAGUCAAUGUGAUUUAUUAUCGAUGAAGUGAAAAUAUUAUGUAGUGGGACGAAUGGUUGAGCAGGUGUUUUAGUUCAAAAGUCUCUAGACAGAAUGUUCUAUUUUAUGGCAUGAGCAUGUAGUUAGGAUUGUAUAUAAUGGUUAUUGUCAUCAUAAAGCAUGAGUAUGUUACAAUUCGAGGAUGAACGGGUAUUUGUUUUUAAUUUUUUCCUUAUAUUUAACAUAUUUGAACAAUUGUCCCCAGGUUUUCUGUGAAAGACUGCUAUAAAUGAAAAACACACAAAAGAAUCUAUAGGGAUGGAAUUAAAAAUUCAUGUAGACAAAUGAAUUUGAAACACUUGAGAAGAAAGUAACAUGCAUGAACUAAAAAAAGUGAACCGGGUAAAAGAAAGGCGUCUUACCCAACUACUAGUGCUUUUUGAAUCUUGAUAGAGACUUGUUUAUUACAAUGUUGCAUACAGCUUUGAAAAGAAAUGUAAAUUUGAUCUUUCUUGAUCUUUUAUCUGAUUAUCCUACUUGAUAUGCAAUUUAAUGGAACUUUUUUUUAUAUAAAUUGUAGAUGUGUCAAUGCAGCAGUUAGGAAGCUUGUGGGAUGUAAAUUGUAGGCUACUUUUUUUGCAAUUAGAAAAAAAUCUGAACUUUGCUAAGAAUAGAAGCAAGCUGCGUGGGAAAUGAUGUUUUCACAUUUAUGUGUGUAAAUCGCAGAACUUGUAUUUGUAUGCAAAAUUUCUUUAUGUAUGUUUAACUUGAUAUGUAUAUAAAUCAUAGAACUUCUUAUGUUAUGUGUGUAAAUUUAAGCACUAUCUAGGUGACUUAGUAAGUGAUGUAAAACUACUUUAUAUAUGUUAAGUUGAUUUGUUUUAACUAUUUAUUUAUAUUAUGAUAGUUUUUAGAGCCAAUUUAAUAGUUGAUUUAAUCCAUAUUUCACAGUUUAUACAUCUGGAAAUGCUGAAAAAAUAAUGACUUUAAUAUUUUUUAUAAUGAUUUUAGUAUAUCCUGGGGCUUGUGGGCGUAAAUCUUAUUUUACCUUUCAUUAGUAUGAUAAGUGUAAAAUCGGGAAUGCUUAAAUAUAAAAAGAAAAUGCGUAACUUUGUAAAUAUUGAACUAACUUUCAUGGCUACCAGAACUUCAUUUGGCCCUGAUAAACAACAUUAAUAUAUGAAUUAUUCAAAAACUUGAAUGGUGAAUCGAAAUAAAGUAGCGAAAAAGAUGGAAUUGAUGAGUUACUAGUAUAUGUGCAGCAUAACAUGAGUUUGAUUCUGCAUCAUGAAAAUAAAAAAUGGACUCAUGGGUCACGAAAAAUGACAAAAUAGUAGCGUACUCAUGCAGCUGAUUUAUCUUUUCCCUCUAUGAUUGCAUUACUGAUAACUCCCUUAGCCGCCUUUUUUUAGAAUCAUUUUGGCAGGUUGCCCCUUUUUGGUUUAUAAUAAUCAUUUGACCACUUGUAGCUGUAACUCAUUCCACGUUAUAUUUAUUUCCAUCCGUUGGAUUUGAGAAAUGACGAAUCCAACUAUCCAUAUUGUCCGGCUGUUUCUUCCAGUAAACGUAACAUAAGCGCUGUCCUAUUUAACUCAUGCUGUGUUUAUUUGCUGGAGUGGGAGUGAGGAGUGUGGAUUCUUCUCACUCCAACAUUUAUUUUCUCAAAAUGAGAAGGGAUUGGGAAUUUUAUUCCGUGAAUUCCAUCCAUUUUUAGAGUGGGGAGUGGGAGUGGGACUCCCAUUGGAGGAGGUGGGAGUGAGAAUCCACUCCCACCUCACCCUUUUUUACCCUUUUAUUUUUUUUAAUUUAAUAUUUUAUAAUUAAUAAAAUAAAAUAAAUAAUAUUAUGUUUAUUUGAAUAAUAUUAUUAUAUUUAUUUGAAUAAUAAUAUUAUAUUUAACUAAAUAAUAAUUUGCAUUGAUUAUAAGUUAAAAUUAUUUUAAAAUAAUAUUAUUAUAUUAAUAGAGAAUUAAUAAAUAUAAUAUUAUUAUAUUUAUUUUAAAAAUAAUAGUACUAUAUUUAUUUAAUAUUAAUAAUAAUAAAUAGUUUAUUCUAAGAAAAUAUUAAUUUUGUACUAAAUAAUAUUAUAUUAUUAUUUUAUAUAAUAAUAAAUUUAAUAUAAUUAUAUUAAAUAAAAUAAAAUAAGGUUUCAUUUUAUAUUAAAAUUAAAAUUAAUAAUUUAUUGUUCAUAAUUAAGAAUAUUAAUAAUUAUAAUAAAUUUACAAAUAUAAUAAAAUAAAUAUUAUUCAUUAAAUAUAUUUUUUAUUAGUUUUGUAAUUAAAAACUAUAAUUCUUUAAAUAAGGAUAAAAUUGUAAUUUGAAACUAUUUACUCCCAAUCCAAGACAAAGUAAACACAUAAAUUGGAUUCUGAUCUCUAUUCCAUNNNNNNNNNNNNNNNNNNNNNNNNNNNNNNNNNNNNNNNNNNNNNNNNNNNNNNNNNNNNNNNNNNNNNNNNNNNNNNNNNNNNNNNNNNNNNNNNNNNNNNNNNNNNNNNNNNNNNNNNNNNNNNNNNNNNNNNNNNNNNNNNNNNNNNNNNNNNNNNNNNNNNNNNNNNNNNNNNNNNNNNNNNNNNNNNNNNNNNNNNNNNNNNNNNNNNNNNNNNNNNNNNNNNNNNNNNNNNNNNNNNNNNNNNNNNNNNNNNNNNNNNNNNNNNNNNNNNNNNNNNNNNNNNNNNNNNNNNNNNNNNNNNNNNNNNNNNNNNNNNNNNNNNNNNNNNNNNNNNNNNNNNNNNNNNNNNNNNNNNNNNNNNNNNNNNNNNNNNNNNNNNNNNNNNNNNNNNNNNNNNNNNNNNNNNNNNNNNNNNNNNNNNNNNNNNNNNNNNNNNNNNNNNNNNNNNNNNNNNNNNNNNNNNNNNNNNNNNNNNNNNNNNNNNNNNNNNNNNNNNNNNNNNNNNNNNNNNNNNNNNNNNNNNNNNNNNNNNNNNNNNNNNNNNNNNNNNNNNNNNNNNNNNNNNNNNNNNNNNNNNNNNNNNNNNNNNNNNNNNNNNNNNNNNNNNNNNNNNNNNNNNNNNNNNNNNNNNNNNNNNNNNNNNNNNNNNNNNNNNNNNNNNNNNNNNNNNNNNNNNNNNNNNNNNNNNNNNNNNNNNNNNNNNNNNNNNNNNNNNNNNNNNNNNNNNNNNNNNNNNNNNNNNNNNNNNNNNNNNNNNNNNNNNNNNNNNNNNNNNNNNNNNNNNNNNNNNNNNNNNNNNNNNNNNNNNNNNNNNNNNNNNNNNNNNNNNNNNNNNNNNNNNNNNNNNNNNNNNNNNNNNNNNNNNNNNNNNNNNNNNNNNNNNNNNNNNNNNNNNNNNNNNNNNNNNNNNNNNNNNNNNNNNNNNNNNNNNNNNNNNNNNNNNNNNNNNNNNNNNNNNNNNNNNNNNNNNNNNNNNNNNNNNNNNNNNNNNNNNNNNNNNNNNNNNNNNNNNNNNNNNNNNNNNNNNNNNNNNNNNNNNNNNNNNNNNNNNNNNNNNNNNNNNNNNNNNNNNNNNNNNNNNNNNNNNNNNNNNNNNNNNNNNNNNNNNNNNNNNNNNNNNNNNNNNNNNNNNNNNNNNNNNNNNNNNNNNNNNNNNNNNNNNNNNNNNNNNNNNNNNNNNNNNNNNNNNNNNNNNNNNNNNNNNNNNNNNNNNNNNNNNNNNNNNNNNNNNNNNNNNNNNNNNNNNNNNNNNNNNNNNNNNNNNNNNNNNNNNNNNNNNNNNNNNNNNNNNNNNNNNNNNNNNNNNNNNNNNNNNNNNNNNNNNNNNNNNNNNNNNNNNNNNNNNNNNNNNNNNNNNNNNNNNNNNNNNNNNNNNNNNNNNNNNNNNNNNNNNNNNNNNNNNNNNNNNNNNNNNNNNNNNNNNNNNNNNNNNNNNNNNNNNNNNNNNNNNNNNNNNNNNNNNNNNNNNNNNNNNNNNNNNNNNNNNNNNNNNNNNNNNNNNNNNNNNNNNNNNNNNNNNNNNNNNNNNNNNNNNNNNNNNNNNNNNNNNNNNNNNNNNNNNNNNNNNNNNNNNNNNNNNNNNNNNNNNNNNNNNNNNNNNNNNNNNNNNNNNNNNNNNNNNNNNNNNNNNNNNNNNNNNNNNNNNNNNNNNNNNNNNNNNNNNNNNNNNNNNNNNNNNNNNNNNNNNNNNNNNNNNNNNNNNNNNNNNNNNNNNNNNNNNNNNNNNNNNNNNNNNNNNNNNNNNNNNNNNNNNNNNNNNNNNNNNNNNNNNNNNNNNNNNNNNNNNNNNNNCAGCAGAUUAUAUAUAUAUAUAUAUAUAAAUGUUUCAGUUCAAAAUUUUAAAGUGCGGGAAAGUGCGGAAAAAUUUUAAAACUGCAUGAUUUUAAAGGUUUCUGCUGUACGGCCAAGGCGGAUGUACGGUACAGCAGAAAUCCAAUACGAAGGGAUUUCAUCAUGAGAAAUGUAGAAUCCGCAAAAGAGAAGAGAAAGGCCUAAAAUCGCUACAACAAUGGUGAAACCUAUCUGUAUAUUGGGGAUGAAUCCAGCGACGAACGCCAUGAACGAAGUUCCAGCCCAGUAUGAAGCAAACAUUGUGAUGAAGAAGAAGAGGAACCCCGAGAAGCCUCCGGCUAGACCAACUGCCCAAAAGGUUGUUAACGCGAAAACAAGAGAAAGGGUGAUCAUGGAAGGAAUGGAGGCCAGAGCAUGAGCAAGUACAUAAGAUGAGACCCGGUAAGCGUUGUAGGAAGUUUCUCUUAUGAAAAUGUUCCGCUCUUGAAGCAAUGCGGGGAUUUCUCUUGCACAAUUGUAGAAUAUGGUGGUCAUGGCAAAUGCAACAAAAGCUAAGCGUAGUCGUGUGCCUUUUGGGGAGUCAUCGAGUUGCCAAUAAAGGGUGGCCAGUACACAUGCAAUCACAAGUUGUGCUCCUAGGCGAGUGCCAAAUAAUUCGGGCAUUCUUCUUGAGUUUGUGUUUGAUCUUUUGGAAAGAAACAGCAUUUCGGUCCAAAAAGGAUUGACAAAAGUUUGAACAUUUUUGUUUUUACCAGCCGAGACUAAUUUACCUCUGGAAAUACUUGCCUCGAUUGCGUCUUCAAGAUCAACAUCGGGUUGAUGAUCAGUAUCGGAGGCCAUUUUUGGAUUUCUCGUCAUCUGCCAGGACUUAUUGAAUUGAACUAAGCUGCUGAUUCCGCUAGGAGCUUCUUCAAGUUCACGAAUUAAGUCAAGAGAAAACUCACAUGGGUUUUCAUUCUCAGGAAUCGGAUGCCCAAACUCAGCAAAGAAUAGACUAAAAUCAGUGGCUGGAGUUCCGCUGUACACAGUCUGUCCAUGUGAUAGAAAUAUCAAACGGUUUAGUAGGCUGAAAAUUCUGUAACUCGGCUGGUGUAUGGACAUAAUCACAACACUUCCGCUCUUUGCAAUUUCCCCCAAGACCUUAACAACCUUAAAUGCACUUGUGGAAUCAAGCCCUGAUGUGGGUUCGUCGAGGAACAGCAGAAUUGGAUCAUGAAUUAUAUCAAUUCCAAUCGAAACACGCCUGCGUUCGCCUCCUGAAACGCCUCUGUGCUGCUCAUCACCGAUAAAAGUCUUCGCUGCACUUCGCAAUCCGAGCUGAUCAAUAAGAGCUUCAACUCUUUCUCGUUUCCUUUUCUUGGAGACAGAGCGUGGAAGCCGACACUCUGCCGAAAACAUGAGGGUCUCUUCUACGGUUAACAUAGGGAACAGAAGUUCAUCUUGCAUUACAUACGCAGAUAUGAUCUUCAAAAGCCUUGACUCCAAAACUGCUCCAUUCAAAGUCACAGUCCCUUUCAAGCUCUCCUUCUCAAUGCGGCCAGCCAGAGCAUCAAUCAGAGUUGAUUUACCAGCUCCGCUAGCCCCGAGAAUCGCCAUUAUCUCACCUUCUCUUGCUACCCCAGAAAUAUCAUCCAGUAGAAGUUUUGAAUUAACACCAUAUGAUAAGUUGUUAAAAGAAAGCACAAACGGGUGAGUCGUUGAUGCAGGGCUGCUAGCAUUGGACAGGUCAAUCACCUGAUGCUGAUCUUCGAGAUCACGGAUAGUGAGGGGAUCUUUGAAUCUGGCACUGCGAUUAUUAUUUUUUCCAGCCUCUGUUUUUUGCUCUGUUUUUGGUGCAUGGUGAAUGAGGAGCAAAGGGUUGUCGCCUGCACUUAGGGGCGACAUGUUUGGUGCCUCCAUAAUGACAAUGCUAAUAUGUUUGGAUCCAAAUUCGGAAUGGAAAUGCAAUGCAUAUAUAACUUGGUGGGCUUUGAAUUUAACUUUUAAAACGAAUCUUAUAAUAGCAAAAGAAAUCAUGUCCACAUUCCUUUUUUGAAUUUUUUUAAUAUCUUUGGAAGUAGUCCAUACUGUUAAACUUGCAAUAAAAAAAAAUGACAAUAAUUCAUUUGCUUGCUUCUCUUCUUACUUCUCCGUGUUAAACUACUUUAUUUUCACGCAAAUCAUCAACUAGACUACAUCCUUUAUUUGACUUAUAUAUAGAUAUAAUCAUUUUCAAAUGGCAGCAUCUUCAUUUUUUAUUACGGUUUACUAAUUAAUCAAAAUAAUUUUAUUAAACCAUAUAAUUUAAUUGUGAAUUAAAAUUGAAUUAAUUUUACAUUAAAAAAUAAUAAUAAGAACAUUCGCAUUAAAAGAGGAUUAUAUAUAUAUAUAUAUAUAAAUGUUUCAGUUCAAAAUUUUAAAGUGCGGGAAAGUGCGGAAAAAUUUUAAAACUGCAUGAUUUUAAAGGUUUAAAAUUAUAAGUCUUUAAAAUCGUACGGUUUUAAAAUUUUUUCGGACUUUCCCGCAUUUUAAAAUCACUGAUCAGAAAAUUAUAUAUAUAAUCUUUUACAAUAUUGUAAAAUUAUUUACACUAAUUUUACAAAAGUCGUUUUCACACUUUAAUAAAGUGUAAAACCUCAUUAAGAAAACACUCUAUAAAUAUAAUAUGAUACUUAAGGAAUAUCCCUCUUUUUCCUUAACCUUCAAGUUGUCCUUACUGUAUUGUUUUCUUUCCAAUGUUAGAUGUACAUAACUUCAUUAAUCAUUAUAACACAAACGUGUUGGCCGAAGUGAAAAACAGAAACAAACAGCAGAAAAAAUAGCAAUGGACAGCAGAUAAAUAGUCGAUCAAACAGCGGCAGAAAACGGCAAUAAACAUCAGGUAAAACAGCAGCAGAAUUGCAGAAAACACUAACAAAAGACAAGAGCAGGCAGAAAGAGCAGCCUUUAUUGUUUAAUAAAUUAUAAAUAGUCAGUGCGCGUGCAUUUAUUCAUUGUCCUAAAGACCAAAUUGCCCUCUCCAGGACAUGAAUCUUGGUUUAAAAAGGGGUGAUUUGACCUUCAGAAUACAUUACCCACUUACACAACUUUUAUAAACAUGCAAUUUUAAUUACAAAACUAUUGGAAAAGUGAUAUCCACCCACUGUGGCAGAUCAGAAAAAUAAUUUAUUAGAGACUAAUUUAGGUGGUAGUAAAAUAUAAAAAUUAAAACUUUAAAUAUGUAAAAUAUUUGUUAAUACAUUUAUAAUUGUUGUCCAAGUAUUUUCGUAUUUUGAAAAUAUUAUGCAAUAAAUUCAUUAUUAAUAUUAUUAAAUAUAUUUUUCUUAUAUAAACAACCAAAUUAUAAUUCAUUUCAUCAUAUUCCAUAGAUGAUUCUUCACGAAUUUUGUUAUUGAAAACUUCGCUCUAGUAUUAAUAUGGAAACUAGAAGAAUUAAUUCUGUUUUUAGAACACAAGAAUGUUAAUCUUUUACAAUUCCUAAAAGUUAGAGUUCAAAUUUUAUGGUUUAUAAAAUUAUAGGGCCUAUGUUAAUAGAUUUAAUGGAGGCUAAUUAGAGACCCAAAAAAUUUUCUUCUUUUAUCUUAGAACUUUUUUUUUUGGGCUAGAGGGGGCUUGAGCCCGCUGGUCACAUGCUGGAUUUGCUGUUGGUCACCCGCCGAUGAACCCCAGACUCAACUCCACAAAAGUAAAUUUUGGGGGUAAUUUUGUUAUUGAUUUGAAAAUUUGAACAACUUUAUUAUUACUUUUGAGUUUUUUUUUUGAAUUACAUGAGAUUCAUGCUCCGAUUACAACUCAUAUUAUAUGAGAUUUACAACUAAUAUUUACAAUCAGACAAUUACUGGGCCUAAUUUACCUUAAUUUUUAUGUAGCACUGCUUAAAUUUUACCCUCUCUAAUAUUUGAGGGGUGUUUACUCUACUCACAUUUCGAAAUAGAGUAAACUACCUUCACUUAAUAAUUAAGAAAGGAAAUAAGUCCCUACAUGCGUUGCGGGGACUCGAACCGUUGCGCUCACAGUUGUGAGUGCAAGGUUCUGGCCACUGGGUUAAGGCCCAGUUGGUUUAUUAUUACUUUUGAGUUUUAUUUACACUUUUGUGGGGCUGAAACUUAUUCACUAUCAAAACUUAAAAAGUCUUACAACAAUAUUUUUUGAAGUAUUCUUUAUACGGGUGAGAUAUCUUUUAUUUUGGAAGGAAAGUAAUAAUGUUAUAACCAAAAAUUUGGCGGCACAACUAAUUAAUUUCCACGGUUGUCAAUUACGCAUCCGUUGACAACUAGAGUUUCAUUCUACGGUCGUCGUGGCUGCAGAAGUACCCCCACUACCCAAGCGUAGCUAUAUUUGUUCUUUCAAUUUUCACUAAUAAGCAAAGGUAAAGAACAGAUAUAAAUAUAAAACCAAAAUAUAUACCCUAAUUUUUGGAAAACCUUAUAUUGAAUUAAAAUAGCAAACACCUUGACCACAUUUUGGAACUCCCUUAAUUGGUUGCUGCUACUUCCUGCUGUACCGUACAUCCGCCUUGGCCGCACAGCAGAUAAAUAGUUUAUUCUAAGAAAAUAUUAAUUUUGUACUAAAUAAUAUUAUAUUAUUAUUUUAUAUAAUAAUAAAUUUAAUAUAAUUAUAUUAAAUAAAAUAAAAUAAGGUUUCAUUUUGUAUUAAAAUUAAUAAUUUAUUGUUCAUAAUUAAGAAUAUUAAUAAUUAUAAUAAAUUUACAAAUAUAAUAAAAUAAAUAUUAUGCAUUAAAUAUAUUUUUUAUUAGUUUUGUAAUUAAAAACUAUAAUUCUUUAAAUAAGGAUAAAAUUGUAAUUUGAAACUAUUUACUCCCAAUCCAAGACAAAGUAAACACAUAAAUUGGAUUCUGAUCUCUAUUCCAUGCUUCCAUUCCAAUGUAAGUAAACAACCUACUCCCACUCCCACUCCAAACUCCCAAUCCUAGGAUUCCCACUCCUCAGGAUUCCCAAUCCAAUCCAAGAAGUAAACGCUACCUAAGUAGAUAAAGAUAUUAGGUUGAUUUAGGCAAUAAACACACAAACUUGAAUUAUUUAAUCUAGGUUAUGUUCUCCAAUUGAAAUAACUGAUUCCAAUUUGCUACUAAUGAUUAAAAUAUCAAGACAAUUACAGAUCAAAUAUUUUAAUCUAGUGAUAGAAUUUACUCAAAUCCUAUCUAAUUGGUCACUCAAAUAAGAUAAGAAUAAAAUCAUAAACAUUAAUUAUAAAAGAAUAUAACAAUUUCAAUUAAAUAAAUUGAAUGAUAGAAAUUGAUUUUUUCUCACAUGACAUGUUUAGGGUUUUGAAUUCACCCUCAACCAAAUAAAAAAUUUAACCUAACAUAAUUGAGUUGGGAAUAAAAGAGUUGAUAAAAUCAAUUAUGGAGAUUAAUCCAAAAGGCUGACUUUGCUUUCGUCUAUAUUCGACAGUGCUGCUCCAAUUUAAUACCUUUGGUUUCUCACCAGUGGCGGAUCUAGAAAAAUAAUUUACUGGGGGCUAAAUUAAGUAAAAACAAAAUAUAAAAACUGAAACUUGAAUAUAUAAAUUUUUUGAUAACAUAUUUACAAUUGUUCUCUACACGAUUUCAUAUUCUGACUCAUUAUCAACACUAUUAAAUACAUUUUUUUUUCUAUAUAAACAAUCAAAUUAUCAUUCAUCCAUUCAUCUACUAUCUUAUUCUGAAGUUCAUUUUUCACAAAUUUCAUUAUUGAAAAUGUUCUUUCUACUGUGACUGUAAAAACUGAAAAAAAACAUAACUAUUUGAUAAUUUAACAGAGAUUAUUUAAAAAUUUAUUAAUUUUUCUUUUAAAUAAAAAGGGGUAUUUUUUUUUCAGUGGGGGCUUGAGCCCCCACUAGUCCUACAUUGCAUCCGCCUCUGUUUCUCACUUAUUUUUCUCUUCAUAUGGCUGCCUCCCACUCUUCGGUGUGUGCCGCUUUUUUUUUUUUUUCCUAUUGUGUGUGGCUGCUCCAAAUGCCAAUAACCACGCCUUUAUACAAUGAUUUCAAAAACCAACCCAAGCAAGGCAAGAUUUUUGCAUGCGAUCUUUUAAAUUGGUCAUGUAAAUAUUGCAUGCAACUUAUAAAGUCAUGCACACUAGAUAAAUUUCUAUUUUUUGCAUGCUUGUCCCCAAGGUCUUCAUUAAUUCCACAUGAUUGCAUAAGCUUCUGCAUGUGUAUGAAUUAAUUUAUUGGCUUCAGUUUGAUAGGCUUGAAUUCCACAUGCAUGUAUGCUAAAUUGAUUCUAGUGCUCCACGUAUGCAUGCAUGAUGGAUAAUUAAAUUGCAUCUUCCUUUACUUGUUUUAAUUAAAUUUCUUUACUCCUUCCCCCUUUUAAUUCUUUAAAAUAUAUUUAAAAUUAAAAAAUACAAAAAUCAAGAUAAAUUAACACAAUAAAAUAUAAUUUAAUGAAAUAGCUAAACUAAAAAUUAACUAAAAUAAUUAGAAUAUUUAAGACUAAAACAAGAAAAAGAUUGAGAAAUCAAGUAGUAAAAUAUUGAGAAAAUAUGCACUUAUCAAAUUCUCCCACACUUAAUCUUUACUCAUCCUCGAGCAAACCUAAAAAAAAAAAAAGAACAGAUAGAAAACUUAAACUAGUCCCCUUUCAUAGAAGUCAUGCAAAUGUAACAAGCCUUUAAACCCCUAGGCAGCUCUAGUGGACGAGUUAUAGUCUCAUGAGGGCUUCAUGGAUGAUACCCAAAAACAUAAUUUUUUAAUUUAAAUAAAAUAAAAAGAACAAAAAAAAACUUGAAAUAAACCAUAAAACUCUGCUUAUUCUAAGAAAAUAUUAAUUUUGUACUAAAUAAUAUUAUAUUAUUAUUUUAUAUAAUAAUAAAUUUAAUAUAAUUAUAUUAAAUAAAAUAAAAUAAGGUUUCAUUUUAUAUUAAAAUUAAAAUUAAUAAUUUAUUGUUCAUAAUUAAGAAUAUUAAUAAUUAUAAUAAAUUUACAAAUAUAAUAAAAUAAAUAUUAUUCAUUAAAUAUAUUUUUUAUUAGUUUUGUAAUUAAAAACAAUAAUUCUUUAAAUAAUGAUAAAAUUAUAAUUUGAAACUAUUUACUCUAAAUCUAAAAUAAAGUAAACAUAUAAAUUGGAUUCUGAUAUCUAUUCUAUGCUUCAAUUCCAGUAUAAGUAAACAACAUACUCCCACUCUUACUUCACACUUCCAAUUUUAAAAUUCUCACUCUUUAAGAUUUCCGAUCCAAUCCAAAAAAUAAACGCUAUGUCAAAGCAGUUGGACAGGAAGGCGUCGCAAUUUGUAUCCCUCUCGUAAACCUUAAAGUUCUUCCUGACGGUGGAAUUAAUGCUGAUUUGACAUGCACUUUUUUUUUUAAGAUUUCUUGUCAAGGUGAAUUUAUGAGAGCAUACUCUCAUUUUAAGAUUUUGUCGUGAUCGAAUUUGCUCUGAGUCAAAUUUAUUUAAGUGAUUUAUAAUUAAUAAAUUAAAAAUAAAAUAAUUAAAUUUUAAUAAUAUAUUAUUAAAAGAUAGGUGAUACAAAAUUUUAAAAAAUUUAAGAGAACUGCUGUACGGCCAAGGCGGAUGUACGGUANNNNNNNNNNNNNNNNNNNNNNNNNNNNNNNNNNNNNNNNNNNNNNNNNNNNNNNNNNNNNNNNNNNNNNNNNNNNNNNNNNNNNNNNNNNNNNNNNNNNNNNNNNNNNNNNNNNNNNNNNNNNNNNNNNNNNNNNNNNNNNNNNNNNNNNNNNNNNNNNNNNNNNNNNNNNNNNNNNNNNNNNNNNNNNNNNNNNNNNNNNNNNNNNNNNNNNNNNNNNNNNNNNNNNNNNNNNNNNNNNNNNNNNNNNNNNNNNNNNNNNNNNNNNNNNNNNNNNNNNNNNNNNNNNNNNNNNNNNNNNNNNNNNNNNNCAAAAUUUAAGAGAACUCAAUUUAUGAGAAGAGGAUCCUUAUUUCUAAAUUAAAAGGAACCCCUUCUUUUAUCAAAGAAUAUUGUUAAAUAUUUAAAAUUUUUAUUUUAAAUUUUCUUUUAAAUGAUGUAGCACUCAUUAAUUGGUUAGUGAAAUAUUAUAAUUAAUUCACUUGGAUCUCAUAAAAAAUUAUCAACCAUUUAAUUAAUAAUAUAUUAUUUUAGAUAAAAAAUUUGAGAUAUCUAUUAUUACUCUCUAUCAAAUUAAAAAAGAAAGGCAUCCCUCCUUGGUACUGCCAUAAUAAUUAAACAGCUCAUACUACCAUAAUAAUUAAACAGCUCAUUCUGCUAUAUCAAUUAAGAGCUCUUUAUUGGAGUACAACGCUAAGAUUCUUUACCACUGUAAAUCUUGGAUCAUAAUGCAAAUGUUCAGAAAAAUGUGGUGUAAAAGGUAAAUGUUCAGAACAACUGGAACACUAUUUAGAAAAAUUAUCAAACUAUUUGGGUAUUACUGUAAAUAACUUCUGUUUAUAGGCCAAAAUGUAGUUAUUAAAACAUUUAGCCUUGGCUAAUUUUUUAGUCAACAGAGAUACUUUCUAAUUUCUAUAGAACAAAAUAAUAACUAAUGUAAUAAAGAUUAAAGAAAAAAAAAACAUGAAGAUGAAGAAAAACCAAUUAUUCAUCACAAGAUCUCUUUUAUGGGCAACAAUUUCACACAUUCUGUGCAAAGCAGGAACAAUAUCCAUAAUUCAUUUUUAUCUUUCACAUUAGAUAGAAACAAAUAGGAGAAUUGAUUAUUGGCGUAGAUAACUUAUCCUCCUACGAAACUGAGCCUAGCUUGGAACUUGUUCCUUUUCUACUAACAUAUCAUUAUUUAUCCAUUUCGAGUAAAAACAUAGCAAGUAGAGAAACUUGCACAUUUGAGCACAGCUUCUUUAUAAAAUUGUUAAUGGCGUUCUCACACUCUAAAAUGUAGUAGAAUCCGUGAAUGUGGAGAUAGAAUAAAAAAGGAGAGAUAAGAGGGAGAAUUAAUAAUAUUACUUUAUUUUUAUUUUCCGUUUUAAAAUUGAAUCUAUAUCAGUAUUAAUAGUAGCAACUAUAUAAAUUCAAAGGCUAGGAUUUUGUGUAUAAAAUUGUGUUUCUAAAAACGAUGAUAUCUUAAGUUAUACCAAUAAAGAUAUUCAUACCUGGCGAGUACCAUCCCAAAAUUGUUGAAUAUUGCUAUGAGGCAUUUCAAUGACAACAAGUUUCUUCUGAUUAAUGUUUGAAGGCAAUGAUUUCAAUGGAUAUCCAUGCCUGUGAAGAAACCUCACUUCAGCAAACCCGGGGCUUUCUUGCAAAUAAGACACCUUACAUCUGUUAUCUCCAUUUAUUGAGUUAUAAAAUUUCAAAAAUCUCAAUUUAUGCAUCUUUACGAAAGUAGUGGGAUUUAAACGGAUCUCGUUCGCUUUAGACAUAUCCAAGCAAAUGCCCUCAAUACUUUUAGUCCCCUAAUAAUCAGUAAAACACCAAAAAGUUAUAAAAUCAAAUUUAUGUAAAUCAAGUUGAUAGCGAUUUUUAGGCUGUCAAACACACAUAAACAUAAAGGUUGUGUAUGUAUAUAAUAUAUACUAUACAACUUGACAAAUAAGUUAUUUAUACAAACAAUUAUAUAGUUGAAUGGCAAUUAUAAUUUAUUGCUACAAUAAUUACUGUUUUUUUCAAUCAUCGACACUCUAAUAUUUGUAUAAAUCGAAGAUUAUUCCAAAAUACCAAUUCCUAACAAAAUGCUUACCGUGUUAUUUGUAAGAAUUUCGUACAUAUCCUCAUGAUGCCACAAACGACUCUGGUUUCCAGGAUUAAUUGAUUCUUGUCGGACAAUUUCCCUACCCAAUUCUUGCAGCAAAUCAUGCAUUGUUAUUCUGUCGUAUGGAUUAACAUCAAUGAGAGACUUAUCAGCAAGAACACUUAUUCCUAUUUCUAGGUGAAAGCCGCUUGCAUCAAGGAAUUUCAUUACUGGAUAUACAUCAUCACUUUUAAAGAAACAAGCAACAUCCAGGAAAAUACCUUUCUCGUUAACGUCCAAAUCAUCGUAACUUAGUUUUAGCACAUCAUGGAUUUUCGGAUGGAGAAUCUGUUUUAAUUUGUUUAUUGCACUUUCCCAUACUUUUUUUUCCCAUCCAAAUAGAAAGCAACCCAAAACUUUAAGAGCUAAAGGAACACCUUGAGCAUGUUGUAUUACCUUGCUUGACAGUUCCUCAUAACCUACAUCAGGGUGGUUUUGUUUGAAGGCAUGUCGACUGAAAAGCUCAAGUGCAUGAUCAUAUCUUAAACCCUUCAUCUCAUAUAUUUCUUGUGGUAAUUAAGAUUUGACUCUCAGGCAUGAACCAUUCAAGACUUCCAAUAAAAGAUUCUAUUUGGUUAAAACAAGUCACGUCAUCAAAAACAACCAGAACCUUCCUGCGGCUGAGCCUUUUAAAGUGGAGGUCAAUAUCAGGAAUCAUACUUUCAUCCCUAAAUAAAUUUGAAAGAAGUUUUUGUCGCAAGCAAGCUAGACCUCCUAGUCGUUGUGACUCUUCUCUAACAUUUUCAAGGAAGCAAGACCCUUCAAAAUCACUUGAGAUUUUAUCGAAAGUAGCUCUAGCAAUUGUUGUCUUGCCUAUACCACCAAUGCCCCAAAUCGCUAAGAGAGGUGCAGCACUUAACAGAGAUUCAAUUGCCACAACCCUUGAUUCUACUCCAACCAACCGAUUGUUAUUAUGCGGAAACAAUUCAGCCAGUCUCUUCAAAAUGUGAUUAACAAUUUCCUCUGUAAGUUCUGAUUCAGGUCUAGCAAAUCCAUAAAACUGCAGUAAGUUCAAAUAUCUAGGCAGGAUUUGCACCAAAUAUGACUGACUCGGUAGCUCUUACUUUGAAAGUGUUUAAUAUAUUAUAUGAUAGAACACCCGAUGAAAAUAUAUAAUACCAACUAGCAGAGCAUUUGUAAAGGAGGAAUUGUGCAAGCAGAGCUGCUAGUAAUUAAUUAAUCAGAAGAAACAGAUUUAAUUGCCUAAUGUUAUGAGAAUGAAAGCCAGACAAACUGGCUGCUUCCUUCAAAGCAUUCCUCCAACUCUGCAGCUUCUUUGAAUUCUCUUUAAAUCUUUCUUCAAGCUUCGAAAAUGAAUCCCCAAAAGUCCCUGUUUGGUUUCUCACGUCUGAUGGAUCAACGCGAUAAAAAACUGGUAUCACAAUCUGUACAUACUCUCUCUUGCAUUCGAGGAUCUUUAAAAGUUCAUCGAGACACCAUCUGGAAGAGGCAUAGCCUUCAGAGAAAAUGAUAACCGAAAUGGUUGAUGCUUCAAUUGCAUUCACAAGAGACUGUGAAAUUUUAUCUCCUCUGUUUAGUUGGUCAUCAAUGAAAGUUUCGAUGCUUUUUCGAGACAAAGCUGAAUAAAGAUAGUUGGUCAUCACGGGUGUCCUCUCCUUUGAAACUCAGGAAAACGUAAUACUUAUUGUUGUUUCGAGGUUUCAUCAAACUCAAACUGGUGGAUGAAUGAGAAGAAGAAGAAGGAAACAUAACAGAAACAGUUCAAAUGAAUUGAUUAAAAUGAUUUUGAUCAGAAAAAAAUAUAGGAUGCGCUAAUAAUAGAAUGUGUCUGUGCUCUUGAUAUGUAUGCUCUACUACUCCCUUGAAUCUUCAGGGAACUUUCGCAGUAAUUUCAUUCAAAUUAUUAUCUGCUUCCUUUCUAAAAGUUCCUUGAACACCGAUCGUAAAAAGUCUAAUGUGGCCAACUAGAAAUGGUUCAUGAUGAGCAUAAUUCAUAUACAUAUGUUAUCUUUUAUUGUAUAUUUGUUAGUUUUUUUAUUUUUUAUUUUUAAUUAAUUGAAUUGUUUUAUUGAAUAGGGAAUUAAUUUGAGAUUAUAGAUAAAAAAAAGACAUAAAAGAGUUCAAUUUCGGAAGCAUUAAAGAUUAAUUGAUUUUUGGGAGCAAUUAGGCAAAUAUGCAUGUGAAGCCAAAGAACCGAACUCAACAAAUUCAUUCAUCAUGCACAUGUGGACAAAGGAGAGAAAGUGAUUUUAGCUUUAAAAGUGGCCAGCACGUGAGAAGCAAUUGCAUGGCAUUGUAAUAUAUGGAAAGCAAUUUAAAGGGACCCGCACUUAGCUUUCAUAAGUGGAAAAAAGAAUGAAUCCUAAUGCAAGUGAUGAGCACGUGUGAGAGCAAAACAAAUUAAAAGGCCUUUGGCUUUAAAAUUGACAAGGUCCGUGGCCCAUUUUAGCUAACUAUAAAAGCUGACUUUGGCUUUUGAGACGAUGGAGAGCAGCGGCAGCAGCAUUAGUUCGGCUUCCCACGGCUGAUUUUAUUUAUUUUGUUGCUCACAAUUCAAGUAUGUUUAGCCAAUUUUCUUAUACUGUGAUUAAUGAUAAAAUCCUAUUUAAUGAAAUAAUUAUCUUUUUAUUUAAUUAAUUCCCUACAUGUGUGCUUUAAUGUUUAUGGUUUUUGUUUCACAUAAUUAAUUGGAUGUUAUUAAAUUUUUUCACCAAUUUUGUCAUUAAUUAUUGAUUGUUAAGAUUAAUAUUUGACUAAAUCUAUACUUGGAUCUAUAAAGUUUAUACAUAAUUAUCUUUGAUUAUGUGUCUUUCAUUAAAUUGUUUACACAAAGUGCUUAGGAAAAUUUUGAUUCUUUGUUAUUUAAUAUGUUUACAUGUGAUUCUUAGAUAUCAUACUAUUAAGCAUAAAAAAAACCCAUAUUAGAUUUAAUUACUUGGGCUUAAUUGUUGUAUCCAUGAGAUGACAUAAAUUGAUUUCGAGUUGUCACUCUAAAAUUGGGGAUUAAUUAAUAUUUAGAUAAUUACUAGUUGAAUAAUGGUGGAUUCAGAAAUCUUGAUAAAUUUUGUCUUACUGAAUUCUCCUUUACUUUAAUUGUUUUCUUAGUUUAAUUAGUUUAAUUUUCUUAAAAACUCAAUUUGCUCAACUAAGUUAGAAUUAAUAUUAAUUUUAGAUUUAAAUUAGACUUUUUAAUUUAUAACAAUUUUUGUGGGUUUGACCUCGUUACUACUAUUCUAUUUCUAUAUUUGUGCACUUGUGAGUAUAUUAAAAUUUUUCACAACAAUUCACGAGUUUGAGACUCCACUGGUCCCCCCCCCCCCAAAUUUUGAUGUGUUUCCAAAAUUCUUAAUGGAUAUGUAUAUUUUUCCGUUAUUAUUUUUAUAAUUUUUUAAAUAAUUUAAAUAUUUUAUAAUAUAAUAGUGAUGGUUUUAUUUGAGUUAGUCUUAAUUUUUAUUUUACUGAAAUUAUAUGUAAGAAUCUUUUAUAAAAUAGCUAAAUGUGUAAUGGGAUGUGAAUUGAAAAAUUGAUUCUGACUUUGGCAUUCACCAUCCUCACUUCACUAAAGUCAUUAGAGAAUAAGACAAAAAAAUAUGAGACAAAUUCUAAAGGGAACGAGAAAAGGAGAAGGCUUCCCCACCUACACUCCAUGAAAAAUUAUAGAAUACAUCAGAAGUACCAUGUGAGCUAUACAACAAGCAGAUAAUAUUAUGACAUGUGUAUAUUUAUUUUGAAAAAUUACUAUGCAAGUGGUUAUUAAAUGCAAUUAAAUAUGUCAUUCAUAUAUUAGUUAGUUGUAUUAUUUCCGACGUAUUUUAGAAUUUCUCCACUCCCACAUAUGCCUUCUUUUUAUUAGCAAUUACCAAAUUACCCAUAUAGAAUUUUUCGUUUCUUUCCUUUAUAAACUCAUGAAAUAAUUAAGCUUUAUCUCUAUUACUAUCUCUCAUCUUGUUUGCAUCUCCGUUGACAAGCUAGAGUGCGAUUUGAUAUCUUUCUACUGUUGAGUUAUACAAAGCGCUAUAAAAAUUAAGAAAAAAAAAGAGAGAAAUAGUCAUCAUUCAUUGCAAAAAUUUGAAUCACUAUGAUAUAAAAAUAAUGUCACAUACAUAUUUUAUGGAUACUAUAUCACACUGCAUCUCCAUGAACUUCAUCACAAACAAGCCGCAAUCAGCUCCAUUUGAUUGUAAUGGGACAUUAUCUAGAUAUGAAAUUUUAAAACUAAAAAAAUCCCAAAGUGGAUCAAAUUUUCUCAAAUAAUCAUCAAGGAAAACUUCGUCGAGCCCCUGUAAAUGUGAUAAUGAUGAUAAUAGUCCGCAAACAUUUGUAAUUUUUGGCAUAAUACAAGUGAAAUGCAAGCUUCACUUACAAUUGACUGAGUGAGUAAUUUUCCAAUAUAAUUACUAGUUGGUUUGAGUUAUGCUUUUGACUGCAAACUUUGCGAAAUCAGGUGAUUUUGACAACCAAUAUAUUGUGAUAAAAUAGUUGGAUAAACAACUAAGAAGAUUUAUGGCAAAUGUCUGUGCUGAAGAUGUAAGCGAGCAACUAAAGCUGCUGGUGAUUUAGGUAAUUGUGUGGUUAAUCAUUGAGGCAUUUAUUUUAAUUGUUUUGCUAUUGGCUGGAUAAUGAUGCUAAUGAUCUUAUGUAUCAUUACACCUUCCCAUGUGAUAGAACUUUCUCCACAUGAACUAUUUUGGAAUUUUUUACUUCCAUAAAACUAAGAAGUAUGAUGCUAAUAAAUUAUAGUUUAUGUGAUUACAUAAACAAUUCUUGGGCUGACUACUUGAUUUAUAAAUUAUGAAACUUACUUGUGAGUAAAAAACAAGUAUUUUUAGUGAGGAAUAUCUUAUAAUCUAUGGAUUUUAUAUCAUUUAUAUUUAUAGACAGUGAUUAUGUUAAAGACCAUAAAAGUAUUCUUUCUGGACUUCUUUUUAAAGCUACUUUUAAGUCAUUUUAUUUUUCAUUAAAGUCUUUGUUUUUGUGGUUUAAGUAAUAUAGUCAUUUCAUUUUUUUCAUUAUAGUCUUUUAAGUAUUCUUUAUCAUGUAUUUAAUCAGAGCUUGUAGAAAGUCAACAGGAGAGAGCAAUUAAUCUUUCUUAAGUUGUUGCACUAUUUCAAUCACAAAGGAUGUAGUAUAUUACUAAAAUUACAAUAGAAAAGUCUUUCAAAAGUUUUAUUAAGUAAUAGCUGAUUAUUGAUAAUUCAAUAUUCGAACUUCCUUUUCUGCAAAGUAUUCACUAGGUAUUUUAUUUUUUCUUAUGAGCUAUUCCAUAAAUAAUUUUCCAUACUCAAUUAAAGUUACUGUGUCAUAGUUGCCCACCAAGCUAAUUUUUGUAAACAUAAUUAGUGCUUAAUAGUCCUAAAUUAGGUUGAAUUGAAGUAAAACCUUGAUAGUUCAUUUAUACAUACUAUAAUUUUUCUUCCUGAACUAAGCUAACUAAAAACUUUGUGAAAGGCAGCCAUAUAUAUAAAACUCUAUCUGGGGGACUGGGAUUAGCUAUUGCUAAUGUUUUAAAAGACUUGGAGGAGUUGCUGCUAUAUAUUAAUCUCCUUCAUCGUCAAUGAGAAGUACUAUUGAAUGUUGUCAUUCAAUUCAUGUAAAGUAUACAAUUCUUAAUAAUAUCAGGUAUUUCCUAGAUAUUAAAAUUAUUGUUUAGACAACAUCAACAUCCACAACAUGCAAAGGUUUGUUGUGAAAUCCAUUUAGCAACAAGCAUUGGUUGUUGUUAAAAGUCAUUCUUCAUGCAGUGCCCCAUCCAGACAUCCAUCCAUGAUCCACCACACAUUUGUUUAUCUGCCCAUUUGACAGCAAACCAUGUGCAAACUUACUGUAAUUUUCCCAUUUUCUGCACCCAACACAACUAUAAUAAUUGUGAUCAUAUACUGGAAGUAAAUUAACUACUAGCUAAAAAAAAAAAAAUCAAAUAUCUAACUCAAAAUUUUUGAACCAGAGAUAUUUCCAAGGUGAUAGUUGGGACCAGCUAAACCUAGUCCCAACUGUAAUUAGUAAAAGUUGCAUCUCAUUGUAAAAUUUAAGUUUGCAAAAUGUUAGACAACUACAUUAAUAAAAGAAAACUUAUUAGAAUUUGUAACUAAUAACUUGAAAAUUGCAACUAAAAACUUCAAGCUAUCAUCAGGGGGUAAUGACUAAAACCCCUUACUACUCUAGAGAAAUUAAUCAUUUCUAAACUAUUCACUUUAUGUUUCUUAUGGUAAAAUUAAUAAAUUGUCAUGCAACAUUAAAAAAAAAAAAACACCACUGUAAUAGCUCUUAGCUAAUCUUUUAAGAUUAAUUGAGAGAGGGUGCCAUAUUUUUUGAAAAGCAUGUAUUCAGAGUAACAAACACAAUUGAAUCCCUACGUUUCAAGCAUGCUUCUCUAGGUUAACUAUAGACUUAAUUUUGUUGGGAAAUUAUGCUCUUUAAAAGCAUAUGCGUUUAUUUGAUUGUAAUAAAUAAUUUUUCUGUUUAAUAAAAUAAAUGAGGUAUUUUAUUCAAGAAUCUUAGUUGAAUUAAUAUUUUGAGUAAAGUCCAUUUAAUUAUAUUAUAUGUAUUUAUGUGAUCACCAUAUGGAUUCACAAAAGACAUAAAUACAAGUUAUCUUAUGAUUAAAUAAAUUUAGAUCGCAGUUGAUAAAUAAAGUUAGACACUUUAUUUAGGUAUAGACUGUAACAAAUUUAUUUAAUAAUUUGUCUUAAUCAUGUAUGAAUUUAUUGAUGUAGUACGACUACAUUGAAUAGGAUCACAUAUGAGAUUUAAUUAACUUUGUAAUAAUUGUCAGACUUAGUAAAUCUCAUAGGCAUUGAUUUUACAGUAAUCUUAAUCUUGAGUUAGUUAUAAUUUCAUAAUUGUAAUUGUUAUUCCAUUUGAGUUACCAAUGGGCACGACAUGUAUUUAUAGUCAAGAUUACCCAGUAUCUUGAUGAGAGCAAUUAUGAGUAUUGAAGUUAUAGAUUAACAAUAUAGAAUUUGUUCAAUACAUCUCUUGAUGGGUUUUCCGCACUUGAUCAUAGAAUUCCCUGGCCAGAAUGUGUCAACAUAUUUAGUAUGUUGAAAAUGGUCAUUAGAGAAAACCAGUAAGUAUCAAGGAAAAAGAUGUAAUUAAAUUGAUUGGAUAGUUGAAAUAUCAAUUUAAUUAACGAUGUAGUACAAAAGAUUAUGCAGUAAAGAAAUCAAUGUGGCUUGAAAUGAAUUAUUAUUCAAGCAUACAAUUAUGGAAGACAGUUCCAAUCUUAUAGUGGAGUAGAGUUGGAAUUAAAUGAUUAGGCUUGUUCAUUUACAAGUUUAAUUGUUGUAGCAACUAUUGUAUGUUCCCAAAUGAUCCUCGGGUUAGCUCAUUUAAUUUUCUGUACCACUAUUGGACCUAAAAAUAAGAAAAUUGGCAUAUUAGGUGAUAAACCUAAUUAUAAUAUUUGUUAAGACCUUAUGUAUUAUACUCAUGCGCAAAUGGGGCCUUGUGUUAUUUUACAAGGUGGGCCCCAAAGUGGUUGCACAUGAUCUCCACUUUCACAUAAGUGGAGAGAUAAUAUUAAAUUCAAAAUAUUUUAUAUUGAAUUAUAAUAAUACAUAUCUAGGGUUUUACAAGAGAUAUUAAACAAGUGUAUUUUUCUCAAGCCUAAGGAGGUACGUGAUUAAAAAAUACACGUUUUCAGAAAAACACAAAAGAGGAAGCUUUGUUUUGGAAGUAGUGAAACGGACGCCCACACGUCCAAUGUUGAUCAAAAUUGAGUCAUAGCCUGGAAGAUUAUUUGGUGACAGAUCGUGAUCUAACAAGCACAGCGGAAGUGUGGUGGUAACAGAUCGUGAGCCAACAAGCGUGGUGAUGACGGAUCGUGAUCCAACAAAAAGAGUGGUGGUGACAGAUCGUGAUCUGCAAGCCUAGAUUAAUUUCAAUUAUUCAUUUUCUCGGAUUGUUAAGGUAUGAUUUUCUAGAUUAUGAAUUCUUAUGUAUUGUAUGAAAUCGAUCCUGAAUUUUUUUUUUUUUUGAGAAAAACUUAUUUUUAACCAACAAAAUUUCCCUUUAUUAUCUCCUUGGAACUCAUUCUAACUUGUAAUAUUUAUUUGUGUAAUAUAAAUUUUAUUUAUAUUAGUUGUAAAUUUUCAAGGUAUGCUCGGUCUACCGCUCAUCUAUGCUAUAAUUAAAUAAAUUUACAUAUUCAGUAGGCAUUUGAUUGAAUAUAAUUAUUGUAAUGUUGUAAUAAAAUAUAUAAAGAUAAACAAUUAAAAAUAAAAAAGAGUAAAAGCAGAGGAGCAAAAUGGGAUUCAAUUUCCAAUAAUUCAGGUGAACAAAAGAUUCAAUCAAAUGUCCAAUACUUUUAAUUUGCUUUUUAAACACGAACUAGCAGCAAACUCCAGUCUAAUUAAAGAGUAAAGACUCUUUUUUAUUUCUUAAAAAAAUAAUCACUUUCCCUUUUCUUGAUUCACACAAAUCAUAAGUGCUAAAGUGCUUUUACCAAUUAAAAAAGGCCAAUCACCACUGUAUCAAAAGAUAAAACUCAUUUUGCAUAUAUGGUUUGAGGAUAAAGAUCCUCUCUUGAUCUGAACUCUCAUGAGUUUUUAAAGAUCUUGUGCUAUAUGUCUUUAAGUGAUAGUGUAUGGAUAAGAUUUAAUUUCUUUAUUUUUUUAUUUAUUGACUACCAAUCACUGACUUGUAUUUUUACUCAAGAAGAGAUCAGAUCAGGAGAGAAUCCUGAUCUAUGGUUUGAAUGUUUGACAAAGUUAAUGCAUGAAAAAAAAUUCACGAUUGCGACUGUUAGAAUCCCUGGAUCACACUCCAAAAUUCCCCAUUCUACAAUCUGAAUAAAGAGAUUACUAAUGCUGAAACCAACAUCUCCUGCGAUUACACCGCUCGACAAAUCAUCAAUAUUGUUGCUCUUAAGUCCUAAUUGUAAAAAGAUUAUUCUUUAUUAACCUCUCUGGAAAACCCAACUCUCCUCUUGGUUUCCCACUCAGGUUUCCCACUCAAAUCACAAAGCCAAAGAGAAAGCAAAAGCAAAUCGCCAAGUUUAUAUAUAUAUAUAUAUAUUUUUUCUUUUAAAAGUCAAAUCCCUUUUUUUAUAAAAAAAAAAUUUAAACCAAUAAAGUUUAAAUUUUAAAACAAUAUUUAACCGACUUGUAACCAGUAAAAUAUAAUUUAAUUGAAUUCUUUUAUUAUAUUAUAAUUAUUGUGGAUCAUUGAUUAAUCCCUACUUGUAAUUAGAGUAUAUGUUGAAAUUAUUUAUAGUAAACAAACAAUUAUACCAAAAAUAGGUUUACUUGGUGGUGGUCGUUUCGGCGUGUCACGACUUAUGUUGAUUCUGUUCUAUGAAUGGUCAUGAUGGAUGGGUCGAUGAUUUUGGAGGUGUAGCUCUUAAUUACUAUAUGACAAUAUGAUUAAUUCAAAAAUAUGAGAAAUUAAUCCUAAUAAAUUUUAAAAAAAAUAUGGAAAGAAAAAUUGAGUAAUUGAGGCAAAAUUAUGCAAAGAAAUUAAACCGACUGAGAAGAUGGAGCAACUUAAAUUUGCUUGAUGCAGCAAAUCAAAUGAUUGGACCAAGAUGCUUGAUUCCCCAAAAGUCAAUGUCUUCAAAGUGUUGAAACGUGAAAGGAAAAUACAACCCUUCACUCAAAACAAAGACCUAGAUUGACUGAGAUAGAAUUUCAUACACAUGAAAGAAAUUACGAGGGCUAAUUUGCUAUUCUAAUAAUCUCUUUCUUAAUGAUGACUUUUUGACUUGUGUGGGAAUGAAGUGGGAGCAAUGAUGAUGAUGGAGAGAAUAAUGGUAAGAGGACAUGAUUAUUGUGUUGGGGAAAAAUAAGGUUUUUAAAUUUUUUAUAAAACCUUUUGAAGAUCGCUCUCAUAUAAUAUAUAAGAAUUUGUAUUCUAGAAAUUGUACCUUGAAAAUCCGAGUUGGUUUUUCCCGCUGAAGUGAUUUAGUCUCCUAGAUCACGAUCCGCCACCACCACUCCUGUUAGAUCACGAUCCGUCACCACCACGCUUGUUAAAUCACGAACUGUCACCAAUGAUCUUCCAGGUUAUGACUCAGGUUCGAUCUGCACUUGACGUGUGGGCGCCUUUAUCACUACUAAAGCAACUAACACGAGAAAAUUUUUCUCUCAACAAUAGAGAGAAAAAUCUUAUUCUCUGAUCUGUAUAAAGUGGCUUCACUGUUUUCCUUUAGAGAAAAUAAGCCUUAUAUAUCUCACUUUACUGAAAACCCUAGGCUCCAAAUAAUUACCCAAAAUAAAACUCACGUUACUUUUCAUUUAAUAGGGGACCCACCAUGUAAAAUAGCAUAAGGUCCCUUACACAUAAGCUAAUUAAAUGGAGCCUCCCACUAAAUGAUAUAUUUAGGCUUUUGACCCAAAUAGCCAGUUAUCUUGCUUAUUAGUCCAGUAGUGGUGGCUUAUUAGUCCAGUAGUGGUGCAGAGAUCAUUUGGGAACAUACAAUAGUGGCUAUAACAAUUAGGCCUGUAAUUAAACUAGCCUAAUUAUUUAAUUCCAAAUCUACUCCACUAAAAGAUUGGAACUGACUUCCAUAAUUGUAUGCUCGAAUAAUAAUUCGUCCCAAGCCACAUUGAUUUCUUUACUGCACAAUCCUUUGUACCACAUCAUNNNNNNNNNNNNNNNNNNNNNNNNNNNNNNNNNNNNNNNNNNNNNNNNNNNAUUUAAUAAGUCUGAUAGUUAUUACAAAGUUAAUUAAAUCUCAUAUGUGAUCAUGUUCAAUGUAGUCGUACUAUAUCAAUAAAUUCAUACAUGAUUAAGACAAAUCAUUCAAUGAAUUUAUUACAGUCUAUACCUAAAUAAAGUGCCCAACUUUAUUUAUCAACUGCGAACUAAAUUUAUUUAAUCAUAAGAUAACUUGUAUUUAUGUCUUCUGUGAAUCCACAUGGUGAUCACAUAAAUACAUAUAAUAUGAUUAAAUGGACUUUAAUAAAAAUAUUAAUGCAAUUAAGAUAUUUGAAUAAAAUACCUCAUUAAUUUUAUUAAUCAGAAAAAAUAUUUAUUACAAUUAAAUAAACACAUAUGCUUUUAAAGAGCAUAUUUUCCCAACAUAUUGAUGUUGGCUUAAUUCUGCUAACAUUGAGAGUUAAAAGAAACAAGAGAUAGAGGAUGAAAAAAUAGAAAAUUCAUUCUACAGUUUCUAUGCUCCUUUCUCUCUCUUUCUCUCUUAGCAUGCCAGAGGACCAAAACAGAGUGAGGAUGAAAAAUUGUGCACAGAAGGAAUACUAUAUCAGAUAAUAUAAAAUUGAUUGAGAGAUCUGGAACUCAACUGCUUAGCAUAACAUGAAACCUUCGACUCUCUAAAGUUGGAAGCCAAUGAUUCACUUACCUUGCACGAGUGAUGAUGAACAAACCAAGACGAAGACAGCGACAGUAGAGACGCAACAGUUGAAAGGCAGAAAAUUAGCUAAAGGAUGACUACAAUCUGCAGAGGUAUUGUCAACGCACUCGAACAGAAGUUAACGCAGGGGUGGGUGUGGCUUUCUUAUUUGUAAUUCAUUAAUUAGGGAUUGAAUUUUGCCUUUAUAUUAUAUUAUUCUUUUAAUAGGAAAACCCCCUUUCUUUAAUUUUAAACUGGUAAAAUUUUACUUUUAAAAUAAUAUUUAACCGGCUUGUAACCGGUUAUAUGUAAUUUAAUUUAUUUCUUUUAUUGAAUUAUAAUUAUUGUGAAUCGUUGAUUUAAUCUAACGGCACACAAUAAUCAUAGUAUUGAUACCGUGAUUUUAACGACGACAUUACAGUAUUGAUGCCGUGAUUGGUUGUAGACCACAGCAGCAGUGGUGCUAAACAUUCACAACAGUCCAAGACUAUCGUGUAGAAGCUAUAGGAGUACAGCUAGGAUGAUCGAUGAUCAUUUGGUGGAGUUUUGUUAAAUCGUAAGGAGCUUGAAAUUCUGCAAGUUCGUUGGUGAAGAUCAAGUUUGCUUGGCAUUGUCAAAGUCUUGUAAAUAUGAUAGGUGACCUUGAAGUAGUUGGAGGAGUCAAGAAGCUCAACAACAGAAAUUUCAAUACAUGGACAACAAUGAUGGAAUUUUAUUUAUAAGGCCAAGACCUCUAGGAGAUCGUUUGCAGUAAUAAUAUGAAACCACCAACUGAGGAUGCUGCUUUAAAGAGGUUGGAAUAUUAAAGUUGGGAAGCUUAUGUUCGCUAUCAAGAGUACAUUUGAAGAGGAUAUACUACAAUACAAAUAAAAGGCUAAAACGCCUAAGAAAGUUUUGGACACUUUUGCAACAAUUUUUUGAAGAAGAACAACAUGUGGCUACAACUUCUAGAGAAUGAGCUACUAUCAAUUUCACAAUGAAACAUAAAAAUUGAUGAGUACUUCAGCAACGUAAAGUGUUUAUGUUAUAAAUUUCUAAGAUUAUACUGUUAUAAUUUAUGAAUCUAGAAUGAAGAGAAUUAUUUUCCAUAGUUUGAGGCCUGAGUUUAAGAGCUUUGUUACAAUUGUUCAAGUAGGCUAACUCAACCAACCUUUAAGGAAUUUGAAAACUUGCUUGCUAAUCAAGAAGUGAUUGACAAGCAAAUGAGUGGGGCUUCAAUAUAAAAUGACAAAGAAGUGCUCUUAAUUGAUAAGAAGAGACAUCAAUUUAGACAACAUAAUGGUAGAGGAUCUAAAGGAGAUGUUGAUGAGUCAAGAGGUCAUCAACAAGAAGGUAGCUCAUAAACUAGAGGAGCACAAAAGAAUAGCGGCAAUGGUGGCCAAUACAAGCUAAAAAAAAGUUUGAAGGGAAUUACUACAAUUGCAGAAGGAAGGGCCAUAUGGUAGAAGAUUGUUGGUUUAAGAAAAAGUCUGAGGGGAAUAAUGUUGCCACUUCCAAUUAGAAGAAAGACAAUAAUAAGGAAUGGGAAACCAAAGCAUCAAUCGCCAUUGAGAAAGAGAAGUUAACUCUGUAGUCACAAUACCUAGCCAAAUCAACUACGAGAGUGAUUGGAUCGUCGACUCAGGGUGUUCAAAUCACAUGACUGGUGAUAGAAAGAAGUUAUAAGCAUGACUAAGUACAAAGGAGGUCACGUGGCAAUAACAACAAAUAACUCGCGAUUGCCAAUAGCUUAUGAUGACACUACAUUUCUUACACCUUGAUAUGAUCCGCACAAAAUGUUACUUCAAGAUGUAUAUUAUGCCCCAGGUAUAAAGAAAACUUACUCUCAGUAUCACAAUUAACAUCAUUAGUCAACUAUGUCUUGUUCAAUCCUUAAAAUGCCAGGAUGUAUCAAGACGUAAAGAUUUCGGGGACACAUAUUAUAGAAGGAUGAAGGUUAAAGUCAGUCUAUGUAUUACCAGCAGAGUCUACUUAUGUAAAUAAGACACGAAAGAAUGAGACAGUAAAUUUAUGGCAAGCUUUGUUGCGACAUGUUAGUUAUUAUAAGUUGAAGGUGAUGAUGAACAAGUCAAUACUCAGAGACCUGCCUCAACUUGAUAUGAGAAUAGACAAGGUAUAUGCAAGGCGUUAGUAUGGCAAGACUCACCAACUCCCAUAUGAGGAGUCGAAAUUCAGAGCAAAAGAAUUAUUAGAGUUGGUGCACUCUAAUGUGUUUAGGUCUAUCAAGCAACCUUCUAUCAGUGGUAUGGGAUAUAUGGUCACAUUUAUCAAUGAGUUCUGCAAGUGUGUUAUUUUUUUUUGUGAAAGAAAAAUUUGAUACUUUUUCAAAGUUUAAGGUAGGGGUGGGUAAAACUGAACCAGAACCGAAAAAAAUUGGUUUGGUCAUUUUUUUUUGUUUCGGUUUAGUUUUUUAUUUGAAAAAAACUGAGUAUUUCGGUUCGGUUCGGAUUUCGGAUCAAACUUUAAAAAACCCGAACCAAACCGAUAAUAUCAUUCGGGUCCAUCUCUUUUAUAAAAUUUUAGUAUGGCCCAAUAUUUAGAAAAUAUUUGCAUAUAGAAAUUUUGUUAUGGCCUAACAUGUUUUGCAAACUUUUCAAAAAAGUCCUUGACCAAAAGUCAACAAGGCAAAAUAACAGUUUGAUCCCUAUGUUUUUUAUAAGUUAUAUUAUGGCGCAGAAACUUAUUUUAUUUUAUUUAUGUUUUGAGCCAAAAGUUUUGAUAUUAAAAACAGUGAUGAUGAUUUUGAAAAUUAUUCAGUUUAGUCCAAAAUUUACAAUUUUUUUUGCUUAUACAAAUUUGUAAUUUUUUUGCUGAUUAUAAUUAAUUAUGGUAGGCCUUGUGUGCAAGUUAAGAUAAACUGAAAAACCGAUUUGUCAAUCAGAUCCGUUACGUCAACUGUUACCGAAAAUUCGAAACCACACUGAAAAACUGAAGCCAAACCAAAUCGAACUAUCGGUUCCGGUUCGGUUUUUAUUUUCUCUAAAAACCAAACGGAUUUUUUGAAUUUUGGACCCGAACCAAACCAAAACAAAAAAAUUAUCUAGAAACCGAACCGAACCGAUGCCCACCCUUAGUUUAAGGAAUCUAGAGACGUAGUAGACGGAGAAGUAAGAAAGAAGAUUUCUUGUCUAUGAACAAACAAUAGAAUAGAAUAUACAUUAUAUGAGUUCACUUAGUAUCUUCGAGAUUUUAAGAUACUCUAUCGGUUCACUUGUGCCAAUACACUACAACAAAAUAGUGUCGUAGAACGAAAGAACCUGCAUUUAGCUAGGGAAAGAAUGCACCAGGGAGUUUUUGGGCUGAAUCUAUGAAGAUGCAACUUAUGUGAUCAAUAGACUUCCUCAGCAAAACUAAUUUUCAUAUCACCUUACGAGAAGUUGUGAAAUGUGAAGCCUAUAGUCAACCACUUUCGUGUAUUCGGUUGUGCGUGCUAUGUCUUCAUGCCAAGCUAUUUAUGAAGCAAAUUUGACUAGAAAAUGAUUCAUUGUAUCUUUGUUGGGUAUGACUACCAUAGGAAAUGAUGGAGGUAUUGUAAUCUUACUAGUGGAUGAUGUUGCACAACACAAAACAUGGUGUUUGAUGAAUCAUCUUUGUGGUGGUCUUUCAAAAAAGAAAAGCUACCAUAUUUAAAAGAAAUUUAAGAUCAAAUGAAGGAAUGAAUUGCUAAAAUUUACCCAAGCUAGAAAAAAUUUAAAGAUUCUGGUAAUCCAAAGGAUGAUGAUAUCGAGCAUGAUGAGGCAUGAAGUCCUUAGAAGACAAGUUUUCACCAGAGCCGUAUUGAAGAUGAAGAAUCCUAAAUCUCAAUUUAGACGAUCCAAAAAAAAAUGAGAAAUCCAAAUCUCAGGUACGCUAAUAGAGCAGCUGCAGAAGAAGAAAAAAAUAAAAGAACCUAAGACAUUAGCAGAAAUAGUAAAUAAUUCUCAUUGGAUGAAGGUAAUGGAGGAAGAAAUCUCCUCACUUAAGUGGAAUCAGACUUGGGAUAUGGUUCCAAAACCAAAGGAUACAAAAUCAAAAUUUUACAAAUGGGUGUAUAAGAUUAAAAAGCGCCUAGAUGAUUCAAUUGAAAGGUAUAAAGAUUGGUUGAUAGCUUGAGGAUUCUCACAACAAUACGGGUUAGACUAUGCUAAAACAUUUAUUUUGGUGGCAAAGCUUAUAACAGUAAGAGUCUUACUUAUACUCGUAGCUAGUAAAGAAUGGAAAUUGUAGCAGAUAGAUGUAAAAAAUGCCUUUCUACAUUAAGGAAUAAAUCGAAAGUUCUACAGCCAGAAGUGGGUGAUUAGUCUUGUCUUGUUGGCACACAAGACAAGUCUACAUGUCUACCUUGAUAUUGUCUUUUAUGUGUGGCCAAAAGUAUGAGGCUUGGACGACCUAGAGGAUUUGAGAAUAAAACUUAUCUGAAAUAUGUAAGUAAGUUGAGAACGGUACUUUAUGGUUUAAAGAAAGCACUAAAGGCAUGGUAUGGUAAGAUUGCUGAAUUUUUAACUUAGUAUGGUUAUUUAGUGGUACAUACAGAUUCUAGCUUAUUCAUAAAUGCUGAUGAAGGAAAUUUAUCAACUAUACUUGUGUACACGGAUGAUUUGAUUCUUACUGGUGAUGAUGAAGAAGAGAUUCAAUUAACAAGAGAGAAAUUAUUAGUUCACUUUCAGAUGAAAGAACUUGGUUAGCUUAAGCACUUCUUUAGUCUAGAGAUUGAUCAAACAGAAGAGAGGAUAUUUCUUUGCCAACAGAAAUAUGCUAAAGACUUGCUAAAGAAGUUUGGAAUGUUGGAAUGCAAGCCAAUCUUAACUCCAAUGGAAGUCAAUGCAAAAUUGUGCACAUAUGAAGGCAAAGAUUUACAAGAUAGAACAAUAUAUCGACAAUUGUUAGGUUAUUUAAUCUACCUAAUGGAUUCGACUAAACAUUUCAUAUGCAGUGGUUAUAAUGAGUCAGUACAUAUAAUCCAAAGAAGCCUUAUUUGGAAGUAAUUUGACGAAUACUGAGAUAGUAAAAAGUACAAUCGACUUCGGUCUAUUGUACAAGAAUAUUGAAAGUUGUAAGCUGGCAGGCUAUUUUGAUGCUCACUGUGCUGGAGAUCAUGAUACAAGAAGAUCAACUACUACAUAUAUUUUGAGAAUGGGGUCUGAAGUAGUUUUCUAGUGCAACCAUAGAAGCAAGUAUACAACAAUAGUGAUGGCAGCUCAAAAAAGUACUUGGUUAAUGUAGUUGAUGAAGGAUCUACACCAACUAGUAUAUUAUCCAGUACCAUUGUAUUGUGGUAAUCAAUUGGCAAUUGUUAGGAUUCUUCCCACAUAGAUUCACAACAAUGGUAGAUUUUUUUUUUAUGUAAUAUUAAUUUUUUUUAAAGGUAACUGCAAUGACUACGCUAUAAUUGUGAUGCGUGGGGAAACAAUGUCCAUAUACAAAGGGCAAGAUCUACCAAAUUUAUGGAGGAUUCAGUGUGGUCAAUGAAAGGUGUUAUUGGGGGACAUGGAUCAAUUUUUGUUGCUAUCAAUGCUAUAUAUAUCACAUUUUUAUUAUAAUCUUUCUUUUUGAAAAUGGUUAGUGAUCACUAUCAACACUUAAUGUUCAACAAUUCAGGUCAUAUAUAGGUCCCACAUAUUAAUAUUAUCAAUUAUACGUGUAACUUGUGAGUAGCUCUAUCGAGCUACUUUGCUAUUGCUUUCAAAAAAGUUAAAAGUUAAUUUUGGUAUUAGAUGAAUUUUUUAAAAAAUCACUUUUGAUAAAAUUGUCUCAUCUUACAACGGAUUUUAAAAAGUUGGAGUAACUUUUCAAAAUCUAAUGUUAAAAAUCAUUUUUUUAAUUAAUACAAUUUCAUAUAUAUUAUAAAAAUCUCAAAUUAUCUUUAUUAAUUAAGAAAUAAAAUUAUUAACUCUAAUGAGAUUAUUAUUAUUACCAAUUAUAUUGAGAUAAAAAAUAAAAUUAAUACUAUAUAAUGUCUAUUUUAGUUAUCAAUUAUUAUAUACACAAUAAAAAAUAUUAUAUAUACAUGUUUAUAAAUGUGUAAACUAAAUUUUAUUCAAUAUUAUGUCCAAUCCAAUCAUUUAUAUUCUUACAACAGUUUAAAUAUAAGAUUUACCAAUCACAUACUCUUGCUUUUAAAACUCAUAACAUUUUAAAAAAUAAAUUUUACCAAACAUUUAACUUAUUUUGUUCACAGUUGAUUAUUUUUACAAUAUAGUUAACAACAAUUAUUUAAAAAUUAUAGUAUUACCAAACUAGCCCUUAAGCACUUCGCAUUUCAUUCUCAAGAUUAAAAGUUUGAGUCAUUUUGUGAGUAUUUUGGAAGUUAAUUGUUUUAAAUAUUUAAAAACAGAACAGUUCAUUUUAAAUCUUAACAUCGAAAUUAUAUAACAAAAUUUAUUUAUGAGUAAAUUUAUGUUAUUGUAGAUAUCAAUAAAUUGGAGUGUAACUUAAAAAAGAAAACCUCAUCUUUUUGGCGUUUAUACAGAUCAAAGACGAGCCUCGAAAUUCGCUUUGCGUGUAUUCACUUUUAAGGGAGUCAAAUUCAGUAUCUUUUUGGUCAAACCUAACUUAACAAUAUGUUAACUUAACCAUUCGGUCAAACCCAAAUACUAUUACUUGACCUCAAGGCAAACUCUGCUAAUUUUGCCGGAAAUACGUGAUUUCCCAAACCAAGCCCCCACAUCAUAGUAAUUUAUGAGGAUGCCACAAACGUAGAAACAAAGCAUCCUAGGAAUUUGAUUCAUCACAUUUAAAUCUUUAUUUUCUUAAUACGACAUUAGCUCAUGCUCCAUAUGAAAAUAAAGAGAAUUAAAAAUAAUAGCUUCACUUACAAGUAAAUGAAAUUGCAAUUAAUGGAGUGCCAACUGCCGAAAUGUCAAACAGGAGACCAACAGGUAAAAGACUGAAGAUAAUGUAGAUCUAGUCAGAUCCGAAUUUUAGGUUAGCUACCGCAAUAACUAGGGGUGGGCACGGUUCGGUUUGGUUCGGUUCGAUUUGAAAUUAAGUAGAACCGAUUUAAAUCGGUUAUUUUAUAAAAAGAACCGAAUAAGAACCGAACUCAAACGGUUCUUUUCGGAUCGGUUCGGUUCGGUUCGGUUUUUUCGGUUCUGAGCCUAUUGGGCCUAUUUUGAAUUUUUAAUUUUUUAGCCCAUUGGACCUCAUGAAUGUAAUAAUUUUUCUCAACAAUUAAUUUAUCCUAAUUUUAUUACAAAUAUUAACAAUAAAUACAAAGUAUUCAAAACACAUUUUAUCACUAAUAUCUUACUAACUAUUAAUAAGAUACUCCCAAAAUAUGAAAUAUUAAAAUUUCAAAAUACAUAACCAAACUCCAAUACUCCAUCUAUAUAAACAUAAUCAUAAUGUUAUAAAGAGAAAUAACACAUGUUUGAUUUGAAUAAAAUCAUGUUUGAUUUGAAUAAAAUUAUUAACACAUGUUUGAUUUAAAUAAAAUCAAAAAAUAAUUCGGUUUUUCGGUUCGGCUAAGUGAACCGAAUACCGAACCGACAUUUCGGUUUUUUUUACAAACGGUAUAUUCGGUUUUUUUAAAUAAAAAAAAACCGAACCGAAUUAAAAAAAACCGUCGGUUCGGUUUGGUUUUUUUAACACUACGGUUUUUUUGCCCACCCCUAACAAUAACUGAUGACUGGAUAAGGCUAUGUUGCAGACGCUGUACCUGACAGCUGCACCUUAGCCAGCUCCACAAAGGGUGCAUUUGGUAAAGCAAUUUCUCUCUCCUGUGCACGUGGGUCCUUCCACCAUUGGCAGUGUACGUAACAGACAAUGUACCGUAGCAAGCUCCCUGAUGACCAUGAAAUAAUUGAGUUGCAAUAAUUGAAAAGAUUCCUUCGUAAAUUAAUAUAACAGCGGUAUAAUGGUGCUUUAAAAUUGCAAACAAAAUAAAUAUUGAUAAAAAUAACAUAAAAUUUGUAAAACCGACAUUAAAAUUUAAUUUAAUUUAAUAAUAGUUUAUUUAUUUAAGCAAGGAAAAAAUUAAUCAUCAAUUGAAAACAAAAAAUUAUAUUGAAAACAUUUAGAAUAAGAUUCAUUAAAUUGGUUUAACCAUAAAUUCUAUAUUCAUGCUAGGAUAUAUAUAAUUUUUUUUUCUAUCAUGUUAUUUGUUUACUAUACAAGUUAAUUAAAUAAAAUUAUUUUUCUUGAUGUGAAUCAAGACAAAACAAAAUAAAAAGACAUUCUUAUAUUACUAGACACAUAUCAAAUAUCAGUAAAUUUGGAUUUAAUUUCUAGUUUUAUACGUAUUUCAUGUACUUUUAAACUUUGCUUCUUACUUAUACUAAAAGAUCAUUUGCGGAUGUUGUUGAGAAGGUUUAGAAGAAUGUAAAUCACAUAUCUUACAAAUAUGAAAAAUUUUCAAAUUUUGAUUUUGAGAACAAGUUAAUUUCACAUAUAUCAUCAAAUGUAUUACAUAAACCUAAAAUUAUCAUUAUUCAAAAGUAGAAAUAAAAACAGUAAAUAUAUAAGGUGAUUAUUAUAAUGAGUUUUUAUUUUACAUUUGUAAGUUUUUAGUUGUUUCAAUAACUCUUAUAAUAUUUACAUUUUUAACAUUUCAUUUACAAGUCUUCUAUUUCAUUUACAUAAUUUAUAUGUUAUUUUACACUUAAUGUUGAUUUAUAAGUUUUAUGAUAUAUCUGUAAGUUUAUGUUUUGUUUACCAAUAAUACAUUAUUUUACCACUUCUAAAUUAAUUUACUUGUUUUACUUUCUAUUCACAAAUCUUAUGUUUUAUUUACUUAAUUUAUGUUUUUAAUUUACUCUUGAUGUUGAUUUAUAAGUUUCAUGUUACAUCGGUAGGUUUAUGUUUUAUUUACCAAUAAUACAUCAUUUUACCACUCAUAUAUUAAUUUACUUGUUUUAUAUUCUAUUUACAAGUCUUAUCCUUUACUUAUUUAAUUUAUGUUUUAUCUUACACUUAAUGUUAAUUUACAAAUUUUAUGUUCUAUUGAAAAGUUUUUGUUUUAUUUACCAAUGAUAAAUUAAUUUACUACUCAUAUAUUAAUUUACUUAAUUUAACUUUCAUUUAUAAGUCUUAUAUUCUAUUUACAUCAUUUACGUUUUAUUUUACACUUAAUGUUGAUUUACAAAUUUUAUAUUAUACUUAUAAGUUUUUGUUUUGUUUACCAAUAAUACAUCAAUUUACCAUUCUUAUGUUAAUUUACUUAUUUUACAUUCUAUUUAUAAGUCUUAUAUUCUAUUUCCACAAUUUAUGUUUUAUUUUUAUACUUUAUAUAUAUUGAUUUACAAGUUUUAUAUUACAUCUACAAAAUUUUUUGUUUACUGGUAAUAUACCAAUUUAAUAUUCAUAUGUUCAUUUACUUAUUUUAUCUUAUAUUUACUAAUUUUAUAUUCUAUUUACUCAAUUUAUGUUUUGUUUUGCAAAGACUUGAAAGUUCAUGGGCAGAAGUUGCCGGCCUAACUAAUGCAUGGGCUGCCAAUGUGCCCACAUUUGCUAAGUCACUGCUUCUAUAACUAGUCACUACUUACGUAACUUAAAGAGUAAAAGUAAAACACAUGGGGUCUCAUGAGUCAUAAUUUAUUGUUAUUUUUUGCAUUAUUUUCAAAAGGUAUAAUUACAUUGAAAACAAUAUUAGGCAUGUUGCUGAAAUUUCCCAUGAUUGAAGCAUCUAUAAAUGCAUGUUGUCCACUCAUCUCAAUGGCAGUGACCAAGAAGCCUAGAGAUCUUUUCUAGCCAUGACACUUCAACCACUGAUUUUUUAUGCUUCCCUCUUCAUCUUGUCCGCCCUCGUGCUGAAAGCCAUCAAACACUCACGGCGACUGCCACCGAGCCCGUGGGCCUUGCCGAUCGUCGGGCACCUCCAUCUCCUCGGCCCUUCCCUUCACCAUUCUUUUCACAAGCUUUCAACUCGCUAUGGCCCCUUGAUGUCCAUACGCAUAGGCUCUGUCCUAGGUGUUGUAACUUCUUCUCCUGAUGUAACCAAAGAGCUUCUCAAAACAAAUGAUGUUACUUUUGCCGCCCGGAACAGCUCUGCCGCCAUUGAAUGCCUUACAUAUAACUCUUCUUUUGCUUUUGCUCCCAACGGCCCAUAUUGGCAAUUCAUGAAAAAGCUGACCACAGUUGAGCUCUUGGGCAGCAGAACCCUUCUCCAGUUUCUUCCUAUUCGAACAAAUGAGUUGAACGAGCUUAUUCGGUUUCUAUUUGAGAAGUCUAAAUCUGGCGGAAGUGUUAAUAUUACAGAUGAAUUGUUGAAAUUUACAAACAAUAUAAUAUCUCAAAUGAUGUUGAGCAUUAGAUGUUCAGGAAAGGGGGGCCAGGCUGAAGAGUGUAGAACCCUGGCUCGUGAAGUGACUGAAAUUUUUGGCGAGUUUAAUAUCUCUGACAUUAUUUGGAUUUUCAAAAGCUUUGAUAUUCAGGGUUUUCGCAGGAGAUUCAAGGAUAUUCAUCGACGUUCGAUUCGUUGCUGGAGAAUAUCAUAACAAAUCGUGAAAAAUUAAGGAAGGAGAAGAAGGAAAGUGAAGAGAAAGUGAAGGAUUUGCUUGAUAUUUUGCUCGAUGUUCUGGAGAAUCAGAAUUCGGAGAUCAAGUUAACUAGAGAUCACAUCAAAGCCCUAUUUUUGGUAAGUCAUGUUUCACUUGCUUUAUUUAUUUAUUUACUGUUAUUAAUGUUUUUGUUACGGCUGCUAAGUUACAUUGUUUUUAUCUUACAACUUACUCAAAAUUAAUUUUCUGUAAGUUUUUAAUUGUUUGACAAGUAACAAUUGAGUGAUAUUAAAAAAAAUCAAUUUUAAGUUGAUGUAAAUUAUAGUAGAUGUAAGUUAGCAAGACUAUUAUUUAUUAUUAUUAUUUGAUAAAUAAGGUCUCAGUUCAUUUGUUUAGGAAUAUACCAUUUUUGUACUUUGGUUUCUUUUCUCUAUUUUUUGCGGUUCAAAAGUUACUGGAUUCAUAUUACCUAUAUUUAAUUUUACAAAGACGUCUCCCAAAAAAGAUGCUUCUUAAUCAAUGCAAAUUACCUAUAUUUGUCUCUUUUAACAUCAUCUUUAAAAAUGGUCAUUUAUAUUUAACUAAUAUAUGUUGUCAAUUGUACUCUGUCUUCAUCGGUGUGGCAUAAAUGCAUUAAUUAUUAAUGUGUCAUUAAUGCAAUUGACGGUGAAAUGGUGUAAUACUUUUAAAAUAAUUUGAGUAAUUAUUUGUAUUUUGGUGCUCCCAUUCCCAUGGACCUAUUUAGUAGCUACCACAUCUUAAGUGUGAAUAUGAUCAAAACCUAUUAGAGGUCUCAUACUCUCAUAUCUAAAUCAAAGGUUUGUUUAAUACUGAGGUGUCAAAAAGAAAUUAUAGUUGUGAAAUAAAAUUGACAUAAAUAUAAUUUUAAAUAUAUUUGUGACAAAACUAGUAAAUAUUUUAAGUUUCUUUUUUUUUAUAAAAUAAUCAGUGGAUAAAAUCACAUUAACAAAAAUUCACAGCUAUAAGUGUUUACCAUGAUUUUUAAGUUACAACUACUCAAUAAUAGUACCAAAUGGACCAUAAAUCAAAUCUUUAACAAAAGCAUCAACUUAAAAACUCUAAAAAAAAAAUAAAUAAUAAAUAAAUAAAUCUUAUCUUUAUAGCAAUGAAUCUCCUUGUUCUAACAGAUGUCUUGUUGCUUUUGAUUAAUAGGAAGCAACACAUAUUUUUUUUAGAAUAUUUUUACCAAACAUGUAGCAUCUUUGUUGCUAUCUGUCCAGGAUUUCCUCACAGCUGGCACAGACACUUCAUCCAUGACAGUGGAAUGGGCAUUAGCAGAGCUCAUAAACCAUCCAAUGGUGCUUCAGAAAGCACAGCAAGAGAUUGAUCAAGUUGUGGGAAGAAACAGGCUUGUUCAAGAAUCUGACUUUCCUCGUCUCCCCUAUAUUCAAGCCAUCAUUAAAGAAUCAUUUCGGAUUCAUCCACCAAUUCCAUUGAUUAGCAGGAAAGCAGUAGAAGACUGUAAAAUUGGCAACUACGUAAUUCCUAAAGACACUGUGUUGUUUGUGAACCUUUGGUCCAUGGGUAGGGACCCCAAAAUUUGGAAGAACCCAUUGGAAUUUCAGCCAGAACGAUUCUUAUCACAGUCAAAUAGUGAGAUUGAUGUUAGAGGAUUGCAUUACCAAUUGCUGCCAUUUGGAACUGGGAGAAGAGGC
rnacentral:lncRNA from 1 species